rnacentral:lncRNA from 1 species
AUAAUGAAGUUAUAAUCCAAAGGGAAAUUAUACAUAAGCUCUUAAUAAGUGCAAGCAUGAGCUAGCAACUUACUAGACUAGACUAGAGCAUGGUAGAUAAGCAAUUAUUUAUAAUCCAAGGACUAAAAUUAAUAAUAACGAGGAGGAGGGCCUGGACCAGGAGGAUGCGGUGGCUGCGGAGGACCUGGAGGGCCAGGCGGCGGUGGGGGCUGAUAAAACAUGGCUGGCGGUGGGGGAGAUGGUGGGCCAUGUGGUGGUGGUGGAUGGUGAUGCCCGAAUGGUGGUGGUGGGGGAGCAGGAGCGUAAGGAUCCCGAGGUGGACCUGGCGGUGGUGGAUUAUAGUAACCAGGUGGUUGUGGAGGACCUGGUGGUGGUGGAUUAUGGUAACCAGGUGGCGGUGGACCUGGUGGCCCGGGUGGUCCUGGUUGCGGAGGCCAGUGCCUGUGGUCGUGGGGGUAACUCAUGCUCUUUGCUUGUAGAUGGAGAGUGGUGGUGGUGGAGAAAAUGAUUUGGUUUGCUGAAUUUAUUAAGAUAAGAAUGGAAGGUUCAAGAUUGAGAAAGAUGGGUAGGACUGAUUUACUUAUGGACUUAUGGUUGAGAAUUGGACUGGUUGUUCCUUCAAUUCAAAUAUAGCCCUGUAAACUUAACAAUAAGUAAGCUUGAAAUAAAUUUAGAUAAGAAUGUUUGCUAAGGUGGAUAUAUAUGAAAGAAAAAUGAAUCUCCUGGACCAAACACACAAGUGUUUCCUAUCACUUGUGACAGAUGGGUUUUUUAAGCUCCAUUUACAUGUUAUUGAAAAAAAAGAGGCCCAAAUUAGCUCUUUUCUUUUUAGUGUAGCAGAAAUGAGUUUUGUCCAAAAAAAAAAAAUAGUUUUAUUUAAGAAAUAAAGAUACAAUGUGUAAAAUAGAAUUUGGAUGAAUGUAGAUUUACAAAAUAGAAUUUGAGUCAAAGCGAGUUAAAUGUAUGUAAUUUAUGUUUGAAACUUUGAAUACUUUUAUUUCAAAACAAGGUUUGAUAUCUCCAAUUUCUCAACACUAGCGUAAAAAUAAGAAUUUUGUUAAGUUGGAUGAAAGUGAGUUUAAGUUACCCAAACAUUACGGCACAGUGGUUAGUGCAAGCCACAAACACAUUGAGUUCGUCAAAUUAGAAACACAAACACAACCAUUGACUCUACAAUUUUAGUCUGGUUUAUACGAUGAGUUAUGAUUCAUUCACACUCAUAUUUUGCCACUCCAUUUCUAUCUAUACUUUCUAUACAUUUUUCUUUUCUCAUUCAACUAUACUCAUCACAUCUCUUAUUUUUCCAAUUUCUUUCUCAUAUGUCACUCUUUUCACCACUCUAUUCCCACUAAUAUGGAAUGUGUUUGAUACUUUUCUUCUAUAUCUACUUGGAGCAGCCAACUAAUUUUUUUUAUGAAUGAUCCUUUAGGUAAACACUUUUCCGCCAAAUCCAAUUAUCUUUUGAAAUGUUACAAUUACAAUAUUUCUAUUAAAGAAUAUUUUUAUGAUGUAGAUACUAUAGAUUGUCAAAACAUCUAAUAAUUUUUUUCAAACUACAUAAUAACAAUUGAUUUUAUUAACAAAUAAAAAAAUAAAAUCUGAGGUAGAUGUGUCAAUCCAUGUUAUGCUGCAACCUGCAAGUGUCAACCCCAAGCGGUGCAACUUUUUGUUCAAUUUUCAGUCUACAAAUCCAACACCACCACCUUCCCUUCCACCGAACCACAACACAAACUCUUCCGUUAUCCUAACUAACCUUAAUGGGGCCCACACACGAUGACUCUGGCGCCAAGCUCCGCCUAAUGUGCAGCUACGGCGGCCACAUCCUCCCCCGUCCACGCACCGCCACCCUCUGCUACGUCGGCGGCGACACCCGCAUAGUCUCCGUCGACCGCCGCGCCGUGACCACACUCUCCUCGUUAGGCUCCCACCUCUCCUCCGCUCUCUCCCUCGACUUCCCCUUCGCCGUCAAGUACCAGCUCCCACAACUCGACCUCCGCUCCCUCAUCUCCCUCUCCUCCGACAGCGACUUCCGCGCCCUACUCGACCGCCACCACCGCCUCUCCUCCCCGAGAAUCAGGCUCUUCCUCUUCCCUCUUAUCCGCCACCCCAAGACUGAUUCUUGGUUCUUCGAUGGUGGUAACUUCUUGCACCCUGAGGUUCACCGCUUUGUCUCCUCUGCUCCGCCGCCUCGUGAAAGCGGUGUGGUUUUGGAGACUAGUUCGUCUUUUGAGUCUUCUUCUUCUUCAGCUUCCUUCACCAGCUUGCCUCCAAGGUACGUACUCUUUGUUCUUGAUAGGUGAUAAUGUGAUAUGAUAUUGGUAAUCUAGUUUGAUUGUGAUAGCCAUAGCUGUGAGAUUAACCUUUGGACUGAGAGUGAGUGAUAGUUAAUUAGGUGAUCCAAGAAGCUCUCUCUAGAGCAGUGUUGUUUAUUGCGGAUGGCGGGUCAUGGUGGAAAGCCCAUACCCCACAUACAUGACGAGUAAUGGCAGAAUAUGGCGGAGGCGUAAUAUUGCUGCCAUAUGGCGUAAUAUUGCUGCCAUAUGACCGGAUAUCGGCCAUGGCGGAAAGUCUAAAACCGCUAUGAGAAACUGCUGCCAUGGCGGAUAUUUGAUAUCACUGCUCUAGAGUGAUGAUGACUAAGGUUUUGAAUUGUGGUGGUAGUUGCGGUUGUCACCUUCAGCUGGCCACAAUAUGUGAUUGUUAAGAUCCUGAAAACCAUGGCAUUGCAUUGUGAUUUUGAAACUUGGUUAUAGCUAUAAGACUCAACCCUUUUAACCCUUGAUAUUUUAGCUAAAGAAUGGCCAAGGGUUAAUAACUUUUUAUACAAGUUACAUGCAUAAAUCUUUAAACAUUUGAAAGAAUGGAUGUGAGGGUGAGGCAUACUAUUAUAUUUAGUAACAUUUUUCACAUGGAUCUCACUUGUAUGCAUUCACACCUUUUGUAUUCAAAUUGGUAAAAAUUUCUUGGUGCUAACUACUGAAUGGCAUUGCUGAACAGCCAAUUGAUGUGUUCUAGUAGAUGAAGAUGUGAGAAUGCCUUUUUCUUUAUUGGUUAAUGGUUGUGUUUUAUUUUUGUUUCAGUGAUAAUUGUGUUUCAAGUAUCAUGUCCCACCAGCAGAACAUAUCUCACCAAGACCCUGUGGUUCAUAUUUCGGAGGCAAGACUCAACGCUGAAUCCAUUGAAGUUGAAAGCGAAAGUCCUUAUAUUAUUUCUGCUGGGGUCAUAGCUAAUAACACGAAAAUUGGUAUAGGGUAUUCUGCAUUUCCACAGCCUAAUCAAGUGGAGAGGUCACAUUUGCAGCCUGUGCAAGCUGCUGCACAGGUUUUACCCCUUCACCCGAGUGGCGUGUUGCCAGUACCAUCUUAUCAGCUCAUUUACCAGCAACCACAUCCUUUGCAGCAUCCAACUUAUCAUAUUAAUCAACCAAGCCCUGUCUACCUUGUGCCUGUUGGAAACAUGCCUCUCAAUGCUUCUAACCAAGUUUCAUUGAACCUUAAUGCUCCCUCUAUGAAUUUUCAUGUAGAUCAAGACUCUGAGGUGGGAGCAAGGUGUCAUUUUGCUCAUGGUUCUUUUGCCUCCCAGAAUUACUUAACAGAUAAUGCAACCAUAUCUUUUGUUUAUGUACCGUACAAUGGAAGUAAGCAGCCAGAAAUGGAUAUUUAUCCAAUGCAUCAGCAAUCUCAGACUGUAUCUAUCACGGAGUUUCCCAAGGAUGGAAAUGAACUUGAUGAUGAGCUUGCUCAUGAUCAGAUAUAUAAAUCUCAGCCCCCACCUCCGACAAUGCCUUCUAAGCACCAAACCAUGAUAAAAGCUACAACAAACCUUGUAUCAGAGGCUCUUGCUCAAUUGCAAGGGGAUGACCUCAAGCAGCAGACAGAAACAACAUCAUGACCACAUUGAUUCUAAUGUUCUGGAAGAUAUAUAUAGUUUGGGUAGAAGUUUUACAGUGACUUUGAAGUUUUCUUUUAGUUUCUCUUCGUAUGUACUAGUAUUUCUUGUCUCGCAAGUGGCAACACACUGUGAGUGUAUAAUAUAGUGAAUUUUCCUAGUACUUCCUUUUUUUCUUUUUGAUAUUUGUAUGGUGUUAACUCUCUUGUUUGAUAUGUAAGCCUUCAAAAAUGCCAAAUCUUAUAGAAAGCUACGUAUGCCUAUUCCCCCAAUUGUUUUCCCUGAAUUUCAUCAGCAAAAUCGUGCUGACAAAAAAUAUGGAAUAAGAACUCAAAAUGGAUUUUAUAAAUUGUACAGUGUGCUGACAAAAUUGUGCUGACAUUGAACUUUAUAAAAAUUGGAAUAAUUUAAAAGAUUAGAACUAAAAAAACUUAGUAAAAAUUGAAGAGUUUAACUUUGAUGCAUCAAUUAAUCAUUUUCUGACAUUCUUAAAAUCUAAUUCGUUGACAGUGCAGAUUUCUCGAAAAAUAAUAUUAUUUGAUAUAUUUUUCUUGAAAAUUGAUAUUAUUUGAAGAAUUUUAUACUACUCGCUAAGGGUUCAGGGGGGGAUUUCGAGCAGGGAUGUGUUGGGAUAUCAAAGGUGAAUAAGAAAUUUCAAAUUGAAGGAAAAAAUGUUGAGUCGUUCAUAAGAUAAUACACAAAAUGUUUUAAGGUUUUUUGUGAAAGAUGUGAUGUUCAAUUUAUAAGUAAAAUGAUCCAUACAUAUAAUGUCUUAACGUUUUAGAUGAAAGACGUGACGUCCAAUCUACUUGUGUGUUUUGCUUUUUAGCUUGAUGUGGAGAUUUCCAAAGUUUUAUGUCUCUCACUGUCCAACAAUAUGCAAUAUUUUGAAUAGAAUAUGAUAAUUUAAUAAUUACAAAUGGAAAAUAACUUUUGGAAGAAUUUAAUUGCAAUAAUAUAAAAUUGAAGCAUCAAUUAAAACAUAUCAAACUUUUGUUUAGGGAAAAUAAGUAAAUUUUGUUUUUUGGUUGGUGGAAAGAGGGAAAAGCGAGAAGCGCGCAAUUCCUUCCAGUUAAAAAAAGAAAGAAAGUGAAGAAAAUGCAAUUGCAUGGCGUUGAUGGUCGUUGUUGUUGGAAGUUGGCAACCGAAUGCAGAUCAGAUCAGGGCCAAAAUGGAUGUGGAGAGAGCUUCGCUGUGCAAUCUCGUCGUCAACUUCCUCUUAGAGGAAAACUACAUCCUCACAGCGUUCGAGCUCCUCCACGAGCUUCUCGAUAAUGGUCGCAACAAUCAAGCCAUUCGCCUCCAGCAAUAUUUCUCAGAUCCCUCUCUCUUCCCUCCCAAUCAAAUCUCUCGCUUUAAUUCUCUCCCAUGUAUUCUCUGAAUCUUCUCUAUUCCAUUUUUCUCAAUUUCUUUGUAUUUUGUUUUUCAUUCUUUGAUUGAAUUCCAAAUUUGCAGUGGCGGAUCCUCAAACUUUGCUCCAGCAAAAAGAAGCUGCUGAAGAAAAGCUAGCCGUUACUGAUUACGAGCUACGUUUGGCGCGAGAAGAUAUUGUCAAACUCAAAUCUGAAUUGCAAACCAAAGUAGAAUGCCUUAAUCAACUAUACGGUACGGUGUGUAGUUUUUUUUUUUUUUUACAUAAUUAUACUUAAGGAAGGAAGGAAGGCUUAGUUUUCUUGUUGGAAAUUCAACUGUGAGUUUAGCGUCCACAUUCAUUAAGAAUUGACUAUAAAUGUAGUGGUUAGUGUCGUGAACUAAUUUUCCCAAAAGUUUAAGUUGCACAUGAAUGAUUAUAUUUCUAACACGCGUCCUCAGACAAGAGUCCAUUUUGGCUUGGAGCGUGAACAGUGCACAGACUCACCUACCAUGUGCAGAAAUUUCAACUUUUAUAAGAAGAAUUUGGGGCGGCAAUGAUUGAACUUUAGACUACUUCAUCAUAGAGGCUCUGAUACCAUGUCAUGAACCAAUUAUCCGAAAAGCUUAAGCUGUUGGGUGAAAUCCACAUGAAUGAUUAUAUUUCUUAGAGUUAGUUCUCUUUAAUUAUGGUCUUUCAAUGCAUGUUAUCCUGAUGACAUGCUUCCCUGUUAAUUCCCAACACUUCUCAAUAUUGUUUAGUGUUUAGUUUUGUUUCAUACAUGGUAGGUGAGAAAAGGGACAAUGGAUAUGCUAAUGCUACAUGUUGCCAUUAACUCUUAUGGUUUUGGUGACAACCAUUGUCUAAGGCUAAUAAUGUUAUUUACUUAUAUGCUUAAUUGCAUGGUCUAUAAGGGGAUUUGGCUCCUUUUCUAAAGUGUGAGGCUGAACUUUAGAGGAUAAAGUUUAAGGACUGAUUGAAAACUUAUUUGGUAAAAUUUUGAUAAUGUAUGUGCAUAUAACAAAGUAUAAAGAUGUUAAAAUAUUAAACCAUAAGAUAUAACUCCUCUAGCAGCAUAUGACCCACAACACAGCAGUGUCAUUUGUGUUUGUUCUGGUUGAUGCAGCCAAGUCAAGUGGAGAUGCUUCGGUCAAUAAUGAGCUACAAAUUCAACAACGAAAUGGGGAUAUUUCAUUCACUUAUUUGGGCCCACUGAGGGAUAGUGAGCGUCGAGAUCUUAAUUGUGCUGUGAAGGAAUAUUUGCUUAUAGCCGGCUACCGUCUUACUGCUAUGACAUUUUAUGAAGAGGUAGGGAUUAGGAAAUUUAUUAACCUUUUUUUUGUCCUUACACCUGUGAAUUUUUUAGUUUUGUCUUAUGUUUUUCUUGUGCAAUUCCGUCAGCUUUUAAUAAGUUAAGGGAUACGAUAAUAUCAGUUUGUUACUUUCACAUUUUAUCAGCUCUGGACUAGUUUAUUUAUUUAUUUUUCCCAUCACCUGAUAUAUUUAGCAUUUAGGAAUGAAGAGGUUAGUGGCUGCGGUGUUAUGCGCAUGGAACUUAGACUAAUCAAAUAUGAUCUUAUAUGGAAUCUCUGGAUCAAGUUAUUUAUGGAGUGCUGUGAUGCAUAGCUCUUGUUGUGACUUGUGACAAAUGGAACUAAGUUCCCACCAUAAUAUGCACAGAUCCAAAUAUCCAACCAGGAAUAGAUUUUGUUAGCAGGGUAGUUCUUGUGUUUGUAGAAAAAAAAAUGCUCUCUAGGUAUUAUUUCUGCUAGACAAGUUUGUGUAUCAUAUGCCAUUUUUAGUGCUUAAUGUUGUGCAAUGUUUAAUUUGCAACUGUCCCUGCAGGUUACAGACCAAAACUUGGACAUUUGGCAGAAUACACAUGCAUUAAUACCAGAUGCCUUGCGUCAUUAUUAUUAUCAGUAUCUUUUAUCUACUUCAGAGGCUGCUGAGGUGAUUAUUUAGGCCAGUUUGCUAAUAAGUGAUCCAACUGGCUGUUUAUUAUUUCAUGGCUUUGCUCCCCUAAACAAGGUUUUUCAUUGUUCAGAAAGUGAAUCUGUUUUUAGUAAAAUAAUUAAUUUUUAGAUAUAAAACAAUACACUACAGGAGGAUAAGAAUUCCUCCUGUAGCAACCACAAAAGGUAAAACAAAAAUACAUACAAAAAAAUAAUUACAUCAGCUCGCAGAGCUCUUCGAGCCUCUUAAAUACCUGGCUAGAAUAAUAAAUGAAGAGUUAACUCUUCAAUAGAAGCCCAAAAGAAGAAGUUUUUUUUUUCUAACAUAGAGAAAAUUUAAGAGAGAACCAACCCUGGCAAAUGAAAAAUGUUAUCAGUGGAAUGAAAACGUGCACUGAGCUCUCUGUUCACUUUGAACAAUAUAUUAUGCCCCCCAAUUAUUAUCUGUCACUUGAGUUCAAUACUCAUUUUGUUAGUUUGUCAUUGAUAUAGAAAAUGAGGACAUACUUUUCUCAUUUUUUGGUAUAUCCAUAGAUUAACAGAAACAUUAGAAAUGGAGUUUAACAUAAGAAUCUCCGUGGAAAAGCACUGCCCUGAUUGCUUAUGUUAUGUCUGCUUUAAAUAAUACAUUACUUUCCAGUGAUUGUUAAUCAGCCUCUUUAAUUCAAAAAGCAACAAACCUAUUUAGGGCUUCAGCAUCUGCACUGAACAGUGUAUGACAUUCUUCAACACAUGGUUAAGUUUCCAAAUCAGAGGCACACUGAUGAUGUGACAAAUUCCCAAGUUCACUGAUUUUCCAGUUGUAUUCGAUUGUAUGUUCCUUUUUUAUAAACUUUCUGGUACAGAUGAAGAUCUUGCAAGGCCUCAUCUUUCUGUGCUGUGUUAUUAUAGUUCCAAGUCUCGGCUAUCCGUUCAUGCAUUGUCCCAUGCUUUCCAUUGGCUUCCCUUGUAACUUUUUCAGUUUCUGUUUUGUUUUUAUUUUCUGGAUUUCUCAUCCACAUAUUCUUCAUCAUAUCUACAAAUAGAAAACUAACAUAGUCCAAACUACUUCAAGUACAAUAAGAUUCAGUUUAAAAGUUUCCUUUCCGAUCAAUGAAUGAAAGUUCUUUAUAAUGUGGGGGAAUCGAUGGACUUGAAUUGAAUUUUGGUAUCUGAAGAUGUAGGUAAAUGUAAUCAUAUAAAUCCUGUAAUAUUAAUUUCAAAUUUCCGUUUAUGUUGAAUCAGAUAUGAAUGAAUAUGCAGGAAAAAAUAGCCCAAGUUCUAGAAAAUGAAACAUUACUGAAAGCAAAUCAGAGGCUAAGUCAAGAAAAGGAGAGCUUGUUGAAGGGCAAAGAUUUGAGUGAUGGUCAAAUAGGAGCAUUAACUAAAUCCUUGGAGACACUACAAGGAGAUCUUAAACACAAAGAAGACCUGGUAGUUCCUAUUCCUUCUAAAAGAUUAUGUCAAACAGUAAUAUUCUAUUAUGAAUAGUAUACUAAUAUUAACUUUUAGGUGCUAGUUUUAAAUAAGUCUUUGGAGAAUCAAAGAGAGGAGCUCCACGCUAGCAGAGUUGAGACCAGUAAACUGAAAAUGCAUAUUGAAGGGUCUGGUUCUGGGAAGAAUCUGGUUGUUAGUGAUGUUGAUAAUUUCCAACCUGAGUCUAUAGAUAAGUACAAGGAAGAAAUUAAGAAAUUGCAGAUGGAAAUUGAAGGGUUGAAGGAAAAGAACAAAGGACCUCCUGAAAAUGGAAUAUUUGUCCCUGAAAAUGAAAUUAUGCAGACAGAAGACAAAGUGAUUGAGAUUCACGAGGACCAAGGUGCAAUAUCUCAUCCUGUUGAGGUGGCAUUGGAUGUUGUACAAGAUGAAGAUGCUCAUUCACCGGUUGUUCAAACUCUUAACUACUAUGCUGAUAAACACAAAGAUUCACAACAUACAUUAUUUGAUCCUGCAAAUGCAAAUAGUGCUUUUGAAAGUAUUGAAAAUGUCUCUGCACAUGAUGGUGGCAAGCAAGAACAGGAUAGCAGGUGUGCUAAAUCAGGCAAUGUGGAUGAUGAAGCAAUAUCUGAGAAGAAAGUGAGUCAUUUCUACUUGAGGAAAUCCUCGAACAUAUUUAAGAAAUUCUUUCUCACACACAUAUAUAUGGCCCUUGUAAAAUUAACACACUUUAACUUUUAGAUCCUAUAAAAUUUUUAUUUACUUGUAGUCUUUAGCAAAUACAAAAGUCAUGUGGUUUUUGUCGGGUUUAGGGACUGAAACCGACACACUCUAAUAUCAUAGGGACUAAAAACAUAUUUUUCUUAUAAAUAUUUUAUAUUUCUUGAUUCUUAAACCAAUGUCUUGAGAGCUGAGGCACUCAUUAGUAAGACCUAUCUUCUUUACAGUAUCAUCCAAUUAUGUUUUGAAACAUUCUUACCAGAGUUUUAUUUGAUUACAAUUAGGUAAGAAGUGAAACUGAAUGGUUGGGAUUGGUUUUGUUCAAAGCUUGCUCUUGUUUUAAACACAGUCUACUGGCAGUGUCUUUGUAACACUGCUUUUAUACAUAUAAAGCUCAAUAUCUCCCUCUGUCCCUGAAAAGAACAAGUGAAAGUCAGUCUGUUAGAGUGUUUAAAUGAAAGAUAACUGUUUUUGUCUACAUCAUAAUGUAAAUUUAUGUUUUUUGUUUAAUGUGUUUAUAUUUUGACAGGGGUUAGGAACCAUUCAGAUACUUGCAGACGCUUUGCCUAAAAUUGUUCCUUAUGUCUUGAUCAACCAUCGUGAGGUUUGCUACUCACUAAAUUUAUUUACACUUUCCCAACAUAGAAUACACAUUGGAGACCACCAUGAUUUAAAUGAUUUGAAACUUACCUUUCUAAAUUUNNNNNNNNNNNNNNNNNNNNNNNNNNNNNNNNNNNNNNNNNNNNNNNNNNNNNNNNNNNNNNNNNNNNNNNNNNNNNNNNNNNNNNNNNNNNNNNNNNNNNNNNNNNNNNNNNNNNNNNNNNNNNNNNNNNNNNNNNNNNNNNNNNNNNNNNNNNNNNNNNNNNNNNNNNNNNNNNNNNNNNNNNNNNNNNNNNNNNNNNNNNNNNNNNNNNNNNNNNNNNNNNNNNNNNNNNNNNNNNNNNNNNNNNNNNNNNNNNNNNNNNNNNNNNNNNNNNNNNNNNNNNNNNNNNNNNNNNNNNNNNNNNNNNNNNNNNNNNNNNNNNNNNNNNNNNNNNNNNNNNNNNNNNNNNNNNNNNNNNNNNNNNNNNNNNNNNNNNNNNNNNNNNNNNNNNNNNNNNNNNNNNNNNNNNNNNNNNNNNNNNNNNNNNNNNNNNNNNNNNNNNNNNNNNNNNNNNNNNNNNNNNNNNNNNNNNNNNNNNNNNNNNNNNNNNNNNNNNNNNNNNNNNNNNNNNNNNNNNNNNNNNNNNNNNNNNNNNNNNNNNNNNNNNNNNNNNNNNNNNNNNNNNNNNNNNNNNNNNNNNNNNNNNNNNNNNNNNNNNNNNNNNNNNNNNNNNNNNNNNNNNNNNNNNNNNNNNNNNNNNNNNNNNNNNNNNNNNNNNNNNNNNNNNNNNNNNNNNNNNNNNNNNNNNNNNNNNNNNNNNNNNNNNNNNNNNNNNNNNNNNNNNNNNNNNNNNNNNNNNNNNNNNNNNNNNNNNNNNNNNNNNNNNNNNNNNNNNNNNNNNNNNNNNNNNNNNNNNNNNNNNNNNNNNNNNNNNNNNNNNNNNNNNNNNNNNNNNNNNNNNNNNNNNNNNNNNNNNNNNNNNNNNNNNNNNNNNNNNNNNNNNNNNNNNNNNNNNNNNNNNNNNNNNNNNNNNNNNNNNNNNNNNNNNNNNNNNNNNNNNNNNNNNNNNNNNNNNNNNNNNNNNNNNNNNNNNNNNNNNNNNNNNNNNNNNNNNNNNNNAAUAAAUAUAAAAAUAUUCAUUUUAUCAUUGAUCCACGAAAACUGAUCGAGAAAACUGUUAACCGUUACUCGAUGGAUAUUUUUAAAACACGUUAAGGGAUAGAUUGAGUAAAUUUGAAACACGUUAAGACCGAACUAAACUUAAUAUUGCAAAGUUAUCAAAUUGAUGUCUAUAAGUAAGAUAAAACAUUAAGGCAUAGAUGGAAGAUAAUAACAACAUAUAAGUGUUUCACUAAUUAAAAGUGUAUGUUUUAGUAAAUAUACCAUUGUAUUAUUCCAUAUAUAUCAAGUACUCAAUGAUGAUAAUUAACAAUUGAUUUGUUAAAAAAUUACCCGUGCAUCGCACGGGCAAACGGGCUCUAUCCUAGUAGAUGAAUAAUUAAGACUGAGCAUAAGUGAAAACUAGAAUUUGAUGCCUCAAGAGUAAGGAGAUCUAUAAAUUGACAAGGGUGGUUGAAUCAUGAUAGUCAUAUUAUGACGUUUUUAAGGUGUAAUUGAUUUAACUAUUUACUAGAAUGAUGUAGAUUUGUUAAAGUAAAUUCUCUAGGUGAUUGAUUUUUUACCAUAAUGUUGUUUGAGUUUAAGAAAUGAUAAUGAAAGUAUGUUUUAUAUGUUUUUGAUUUGUUAAAUAAUCUUAGGAGAUUUUUGGUUUGGUACUUAGGUAGGAGAGGAGAGGAAAUGAUAAAGAAUGCGUAAUUGGUUUAAAUCGUGUUGGUUCAUUUAAGAUAAGUAUGAUGAAAAUGACGAGUACUUUUAAAGACAUUCGUAACCCUAAUAAUUAAGGUUCGGUGUUUAGGGAAAUUGUGGAUAGAAAGGGCGACACCCAUGGAGUUCAAAAUGACAUACCCAUAAAAAGGGGCGAAGAAAUAUUUCAAUUUUGAGAAAACUAAUUAUAUUAUUGUUUAGUUGAGAAAUGUGAAAAACACGUAACUGGACACAAAGAACGAGGAAGAGAUAGUGAUGUGGCAAGUGAAGACACACUCCACCUUCAUACUUCAUGCACAGUGUCUUGGGGGUUUUGGACUGGAAAAUGGUGAGCUGACUAAAAUAGAGCGGACUAAGGCGGCCGAGUUUAUGCGGAGCAGAUUGAUGGGAUGUCAUUGCGAGCUAUUCAUACACACUUAGCAUUCAUACUUUAGGCACAAUCCCUUAAGGGCUUUUGGACUGGGAAAUAGCGAAUUGUUUGAGAAAGAGCGAAUCGAGGCGACCUAGUUUGGGCAGAUUGAUGAGAUGUCAAGGUGAGUUAUUCAAACACACUUAGCUUGCAUACUAGAGCUGUCAAUACGGGCCAGCUCGACCCAUAUAGGUCAGCCAGUAUGGGUUGGGUUGGAAACGAGUUGGGUUGUGUCAACCCGGGGUCUUAACGAGCCAGGAAAAUAUGAACCCAACCCGGCUCGUUAUGAGCUCGCGGGGUGGGGGGCCAAAUAAAAUAAUUAUUUAAUAAAAAAAGAACUUUAACCCGACGGGUUGGCUCGCUUGACCCGCGGGUUGGCCCGUCUAACCCUUAAACGAGCCUGGUUGCACUAACCCAAGUUCUUUUCGAGCUGGAAUUUAACCAACCCAACUCGGCUCAUUUAGCCAACCCGUCGAGCUGGUCCGCGGGUUGGAACUCAUAUUGACAGCUCUAUUGCAUACUUCAGGCACAGUGUGUUGUGACCUGGCCAAUGCCCGUUCAAAUGACGUCGAGAUAUAUCAAGGACACAACGAGCUAUUCAUGCAUACUUUGCAUUCAUAUUUCAGACACAUUGUCUUGUGUGGACUUGUGGACUGGUCAGGAGUGACUAGCCAUGGCCUAAUGAGCGACUCCAUAUUCGACACGAGACUCUCCAACGAGCGAUCUUCUCGACAUAUUGUUGAGUCAGAUUUCACAAGUCAUGUUAGCCAUUUAUAUAUCACACACGCCACGUUGGCUAAGUUGUAUGUAUUGUCAAUUCCAUGUUUGUGAGUUGUGUAUUAUAGAGUCUUAGGCUACCCUACCUUCCUUCUAGGUCAGUUAUGUUAGCUAUUGACUUUGAAGUCCAAAUUCGUGUAUUUAGGGUUACACUAUUCUAUUUAAGAGGAUAAGACCACUUGUAAUACUGAUGUUCAUUAUCAUAAUACAAAAGCAGCUAGGUUGUAAGGAAUUCAUACUUCCUAUAGAGUUCCAGCUUGGUUAUCUCCAUUAUUCACUCAAAAGCGAACCCUAUCAAACAUAACUAGCAUCAUUUUAACUCACAUUUACCACUUACGUAAAUUUAGUUGAAUCAAUUCCAAAAUCAUAACAAAGAGUGUUGUUUGGUUGCAAUUCUCAAACAUGGAUCUGAACUCCACAUGUGGAUCUCUAUUGUUUUGAAAAUGAUUGAGAACCAAUUUUGAGAAUGAAUUCUACAAGUUUGAUCCGGAUCUAGCAGAAUUAACUUGAGGUAGCUUAUCUAUCUGUGUGGCCGAUUUUGUGUAUUUAUACUAUAAUUUAGUUACGAAAAUCAAUUAUGAGUAAAUGUAUUCAAACAUAAAUCACAUCACUUAAACUUACAUUACCUAGUUCAAUUCUAGUCAGAUUCAAUUCUCCUAACGCUGAUCCAAACACUUUUGAGAUCAUUUCAGGUAAGUGUACAUACAUAGAGACAAUCGUUGAAUCAAUGAAUGACCCAAAUAGGGUGCUCUGCAUUGUACUAUAUUUGUAUGGUAUCCAUGGAUAAGUGACAGCUAGGGAGUAGACCCAAAUAGACAAGUAUGUAUCAAGUACACCCACCACUUGCGUAGGUUUAUCCGCCGCGUGUGUCUUAUACACAUAGAUCCUCCUUCCACGAAUCCAAACGAAUUUCCGUGCUGUCCUACUUCAAAUGGACUACCAUCCAACUCACAAUCCAAUCUUUCCUUAAACAAACACCCUUUUGCAUCGUCAUGAUGGAUAAUAUCAUACAUAUCUAUCUUGAUCUUCCGUAACAGUAACGAUCAUCAUUCUUAAUCAAUAAUUCACAUUCACAUUUCAUCAAACAAUACAUGUGCAACAAACUAAGGUGAACGAACCAACAUCAAGCACCAUCAUCAUCGAAAUCAGAAACCAGAAACCAGAAACCAGAGAUCAAUCAAUGGAUUGUGUUUCUGAUAAUGUUGUGAUCGAGCACAAGGCCUACGCGAGGGUGGGUUUGCUCGGAAACCCAAGCGAUGUCUACUACGGCAACACGAUCUCCUUAAACAUUGCCAACUUCUACGCCACCGUCAAGCUCGUUCCAUCCAAGGACCUCUUCAUUCAGCCACACCCCAUUCACGAUCUCGUUCAUUUCGAAUCGCUUCGUCAAAUGGUUUGUUCUGUUCUCAACUCUGAUCAUGAAUCCCAAUAACCCCACCUCGUUGUUUCGCUGAUUGCAUGGCGUUUUUGUUCUGUGUGUGUGUGCAGGUGGGAAGGGUUAACAGCGAUGGUUACUAUGGUGGUGUGCGGUUGCUCAUGGCGAUUUGCAAAGUUUUUCACAAUUAUUGUAAAGAGAAGAGUAUUGCCCUUCAUGAUAGGAAUUUUACCCUCUCGUAUGAUACUAAUAUCCCUCGCCAGGUAUUUGAAAUAAUCAAAUGUGAUCAAUCUACUUAUUGCAUGUUUGGAUCAGCUUAUUUUUCGUUAGAAUCAAUUCUGAAACUCAAAAGUAGAAGCUACCCAUGAUUGAUUUUGGCUUCAAAAUCAAACACGCAGACAUUAGUUUGCUUCAUUAGCUUAGUACAUUUAUAAGAUAGUAUGUAAGAAUAAGAUUAAUAGACAAGAUAUAACAUAAUAGUAAUAUCUAAUAUGUGAAUUCUGUUCUGUCUGAUGUGUGUUAGAAGGAGACAACAGUUUGAUUUUUUUAUUACAAUUUGGUUCUGUCCAGAAAGAGAAAGGAAUAGAUCUGUUCUGUUUUUUGGCUGAUUGACAAAUGCUACAAGGAUUGAAAAACCCACCUUUUAUUUAUGCUGAUGUUGUCUUCUACUCUGUUAUCUUGUCUACCCUGUUAUCAUGAUGCUUGUUAAUUAUUUAAUUUUGUGAAAAGUUUGUUUUCUAUUUUUUCAAGUUGCUAUUUUAUUGUAUGGCUUAAUAAUGUUCUGAAUUUUGUGUUUCAGAGUGGACUUUCGGGUUCUAGUGGGAUUGUAUGUGCUGCCUUGAACUGCUUUCUUGAUUUCUACAAUGUCAGGCAUCUGAUCAAGGUGGAAGAAAGGCCUAACCUUAUCCUUGCAGCUGAGGGAGAGCUUGGAAUUGUUGCUGGUCUUCAAGAUCGGGUAGUGCAAGUUUAUGGCGGCCUAGUUUACAUGGUACAUUGCUUAGCUUCAAACUUUUGUUUCAAGUGUGUAUGGUGUACCGAUGAAUUACGUGAUGUGAUUUUCUCUGCUUUUGUAGGACUUCAGCAGGGAAAUCAUGGAUAAGAAGGGGCAUGGAAUUUAUAUACCCAUGGAUUUGAGCCUUCUCCCACCUCUGUAUCUCAUAUAUGCAGUAAAUCCUCGUGAUUCUGGGAAGGUCAGUGGCAUGGAAUGGCUUCAUCUUUAUUAUUAGAGGAUGCAAGCUGUACAGUAAUGUUAUCACAUCUAAUUAGCAUGUUUUGUUUCUUGCAAAUAUGUUUUUCAAGUUAUAUUGCAUUGACUUUCACAAAAUUUCAGAUCAUUAUCCCCAAAAUAAGAACCUUCUGCGGUAAUUUAUAGUCUGUAGCUAAGAAAAUUUAUCUGAUUUAGUUUUUACUGCUAAAUUGUUGGCAUUGGGCUGAGAUGAAAUGUAUGUUGGAGGUAGCACAAUAAAGUGAUUAGAACAUGAGAAUCUUCCCUCGCAGUUCCAUGAGAAUCUUCCCUUAAUAUUUUUGUUUUCCCACAUAUGAAUGUUAACUGACACUACCCUGUAGGUUCAUAGCAAAGUACGGCAAAGGUGGCUUGAUGGUGAUAAGUUCAUCGUGUCAUCAAUGCUUGAAGUUGCAAAUAUUGCAAAAGAAGGAAAGACAGCAUUAGAAGAAAAGGACUAUUCCAAAUUUGCAGCUCUCAUGAAUCGAAAUUUUGAGCUACGAAGGUAAUUCUUAGUUUAUUUUCCCUCAUUAUGUAUAAAUGCACUUAGACCAUUUAUUAUAUAUGAGUGAUAGGUAUUGCAACAAAUGAUACAUCUUUGGAACUUGUAUGAGGUUUCAAACUGCAACUUACUCAUUGGUAGGUAGUCAUUGGUUCUAGACUGAGACCAGCAUAUAGAUUAAACCUCUAGUAUAGCCAGCCUACUAAUCGCAUAACACCAUUAUAACUAAUACAUGAAUGCACAAUAAACAAAAAUCUAAAUUAAAACAAGUUCUUACCCAGUCAGUACUUAAAGUUUAGAACAUGGGAGUCAAUGGCCUCAACAUCUACUGUAAAACAGGGCAACGCUAAUCCAUAUGAAAGAAGACAAACUCCAUUGCUCGCUGCCUAACUUUUGGAUAAUCUGUAAGUUUUAAAUGAGGUGAGGUGGUCACACCAAGGAAAUUAAAAAUUAAAGUGACAAAAUAAAAAGUACUUCAAACUUUGACAAUUAUGUUUCAAAAAUAUAUACAAGGCUACUCAAUAAGUUAUACAUGAGUAUCCUUUGCAGAAACUUUAAGGACCACAUCUCAUAAGCAGAUCAAGCUAAGGACCACACUCACCCUAUAUCCAAACAAAUGGCCUAAGGGUCCUCUAACCUUUACACUUCUGUCAUGUACUUAGAUUUAUCUCCCCCGGGGGUAUUGCACAAGCAUUUUCUUUAAACAUUCUACAGGGUGAACUCUUAUGUAUCAUUUCAAUUUCUGGUGUACUUGGAUUAAUGCACUGUAUCUAAAAAAAUGGGGAGCUCUCUCAUGCCCUAUCUUAUUUAGAAGGUUGUGCUGCCCUCCUAUCACUGAAAUGCAAACUUCAAAACACAUUAUAAUCUAUCAUAGCAUGACAUUUAUUACCCUAAGCAAUCACGUAUUGGUCAAUUAUAAGAGGACAACACUCAGGAGGGCAUGUAUAAGUUAGUUUUCCUUAAAAAAUUCAAAGCAUGCAUUUUGUUUAGCCUGACAAAUGAAAGGCAUGGGAAAAUUGAAUUUGUGGAGUUUCUAUUAAACUUUGUUUCUGUUGGGAUAUUGUACAGGUUAAUGUUUGGAGAUGAGGCCCUUGGUGAUGUGAACAUAAAAAUGGUAGAGGUUGCUAGAAAGGUUGGAGCUGCAUCUAAAUUUACAGGCAGUGGAGGAGCCGUGGUCGCAUUUUGUCCUGAGGGGACUUCUCAAGUGAAGCGUCUAGAGGAUGAAUGUCACAAAGCAGGAUUUGAGAUGGAACUUCUUGAACCUUUUCCUUCUCGCCUAAAUGAAUUUGACUUAAAAACCUUGCGGAUGAAGUAAUUACUGAUAUGAGGGUUUGAAUUAUCGAGAAACAUUUUCAUUUCAUAGACAAGUAAGAAUUUCAAGUUGUGAUUCAUGCUUUUUAUUGAUGAAUUUGAAAGAAAAGAAGUAUGAUUGAUUUUGUCUUAACUUCCAUUUGCACCAAUUACAAUGAAUAUACAACUAUAGCAAUAGUCAUUAGUAAGGAUUAAGAUAUUUUGUCAGUGUUUGAAGCCCUAUUCCAUAACCCACCAAUAAAAUUGUACCAUGUCAAUUUAAAAAACAUAUAUUUGACAAUUAUAACCUGGGUGGUUUUUAAAUAACAGCACAAUUUUAUUGGUGAGUCAAGUAAGAUGACACCAAACAGGGACAAGAUUUGGAUCCCAUUAGUAAGAGUAGUAAAUAAAGCAAUAAUAGUGUUGUUUAAUCACAUUUUCAAAGGAAAAGCAGUAAGAAUCUAGUAAGUGAAUGAACUUUACAAGCAUACAAAAAACUGCAGCAUUCCAUCUUCAUGCUUGAUUGGAGACUUCUUUGUGACUGCCUUCCCACUUUUUACAUUCAUUAUAUGGUAAUUCCAAUUGUAUGCCUCCAUUCAAAUGUUUGAUGCUCUUUAAUUAAUACAAUCAAUCUAAAAAUAUUUACCAAAAACAUCAAAGAUCUAAUUCUAAUCUACUUAACACCAGUGUUCUAGAGUUACAAUCAAUGAAACUGGUUGUUGAAGGGUGCAAGACUAUUCUUUCAACUUGAAAAUCAUUACCAACAGAAAUAAUAAUGCACAAGGGAAAACCGGUUAAAUCAAUCAUAUUCAUCACACAGCACUUGCAUGAGAUCAAGUGGUGAAGCCCAUAUUGGUAGAUCAAACAAAGAUUGUUUAAAUUGUUCUUCUCGUUUGGAGCACAUUGCUUCUGCUACAUCACACAAACUAGAAAUAUCUUGAAUUACUGCUUCCUGAGCUUCCACCUGCAUGAUUGAGGAUACUAAAUUAUGCCCACUAAGCUUAUCACAUUCACUACACAUGCAAUUUGAGUUUGAUGACAAAUGACAAUACUCUUAUGAUAGGGUAAUGAACUUUUACACAAAUGUUCAGUCACACUUCAUUAUUUUAUCACAUAAAAUGAAAAAAAGUAAGUUAAUACUAAUAGCUAUUAAAUGUAUCAGAGUUAGAAAAAACAACAAAUGAUAUAUGGACAAACUCCAAAUACCAUAAUGUCCCUCAGAAAUUGAAAAUAGUUCUAGUACUAUUUGGUAUGAGUGUUUUUUUCAUUAUAAAAAAAUGUCAUUUUACUUUUAUUUUACCUUCUAUUUUAAAAAAUUGUACAAGAAAAAAAAAAUGAAAAACACAUUUUUAUUGAUUUCACAAAUUUUUAUAUGAAUUAAAACAUGUCAUUUUGUGAUAUCAAACUUCAAUUCUUGACAUUUUUCACAUGAAUUUCACUUCACACUACCUCACCUAAUGUAAUAUGUUUUGGAAAUCAUGGAGAAGAAAGACACUAUUCCCAAUGUAGUAAAUUAGGUCAACUAGGCUUAAGAUUGAAAGCAGAUCGAAAAUGCAAGACCCAGUUCAAAAUUCCCCCAAUUUUUUCAAAUUUCUUGCAUAUUCAGCGAAAACAGAUCGAAAUCGAAAAAUGGGUAUGCAAGUUACCUGCGAGAGAAGGUCCUGAAGCAGAGCGGAAUCCGUUAACGAAGAAGAAGAGGAUGAAGGAAGCGACAAUGGGGUCUGGUUCUGCAGCGGUGGUUGAAGCUGGGGAGCAGAGAUUUGCAUCGAGCGCAAGGUGGUCGACAAAGAUUCCCACUGAACAAUCUCCUUCUCGUACUUAGCUUUCAGCUUCAGUAGGGUCUGCCUCUUUCGCUCUUUGCGCCGCUUCUCCGCCUCCUGAUCUGCCUCCGGCGGCGGCGGAGGAGGGUGGAGGCGGCGGNNNNNNNNNNNNNNNNNNNNNNNNNNNNNNNNNNNNNNNNNNNNNNNNNNNNNNNNNNNNNNNNNNNNNNNNNNNNNNNNNNNNNNNNNNNNNNNNNNNNNNNNNNNNNNNNNNNNNNNNNNNNNNNNNNNNNNNNNNNNNNNNNNNNNNNNNNNNNNNNNNNNNNNNNNNNNNNNNNNNNNNNNNNNNNNNNNNNNNNNNNNNNNNNNNNNNNNNNNNNNNNNNNNNNNNNNNNNNNNNNNNNNNNNNNNNNNNNNNNNNNNNNNNNNNNNNNNNNNNNNNNNNNNNNNNNNNNNNNNNNNNNNNNNNNNNNNNNNNNNNNNNNNNNNNNNNNNNNNNNNNNNNNNNNNNNNNNNNNNNNNNNNNNNNNNNNNNNNNNNNNNNNNNNNNNNNNNNNNNNNNNNNNNNNNNNNNNNNNNNNNNNNNNNNNNNNNNNNNNNNNNNNNNNNNNNNNNNNNNNNNNNNNNNNNNNNNNNNNNNNNNNNNNNNNNNNNNNNNNNNNNNNNNNNNNNNNNNNNNNNNNNNNNNNNNNNNNNNNNNNNNNNNNNNNNNNNNNNNNNNNNNNNNNNNNNNNNNNNNNNNNNNNNNNNNNNNNNNNNNNNNNNNNNNNNNNNNNNNNNNNNNNNNNNNNNNNNNNNNNNNNNNNNNNNNNNNNNNNNNNNNNNNNNNNNNNNNNNNNNNNNNNNNNNNNNNNNNNNNNNNNNNNNNNNNNNNNNNNNNNNNNNNNNNNNNNNNNNNNNNNNNNNNNNNNNNNNNNNNNNNNNNNNNNNNNNNNNNNNNNNNNNNNNNNNNNNNNNNNNNNNNNNNNNNNNNNNNNNNNNNNNNNNNNNNNNNNNNNNNNNNNNNNNNNNNNNNNNNNNNNNNNNNNNNNNNNNNNNNNNNNNNNNNNNNNNNNNNNNNNNNNNNNNNNNNNNNNNNNNNNNNNNNNNNNNNNNNNNNNNNNNNNNNNNNNNNNNNNNNNNNNNNNNNNNNNNNNNNNNNNNNNNNNNNNNNNNNNNNNGGACAAAGCGCACUGAAAAGACUCUUGUUGUCGAGACGUCGCCACUUUAUGUCACACGUUACACGAGACGUUACCACUUUAUGUCACACGUUACACGAGACGUUGUCACUUUAUGUCACACGUUACACGAGACUUCACCACUUUAUGUCACAUGUCAUUCCUUUAUGUCACGCGUCACUUCAUUUGUCAUGCGCUACACUCGACGUCACCACUUUAUGUCACACGUCACUUCUUUAUGUCACACGUCGCUUCAUUAUGGCACGUGCUACACAAGACGUCACCACUUUAUGUCAUGCGUCACACAGAACAUCACUACUUUAUGUUACACGUAACACGAGAUAUCACAACUUUAUGUUACACAUUGCACGAGACAUUACAAUGUCACACGUUACUCAAGACAUCACAAUUUUAAGUCGCACGUUACACAAAACGUCACAACUUUAUAUCAAACGUUGCAUGCAACGUUACAAAUGUAUGUCGCAUGGGCUUUCGAGGAUGCAAUCAACAAAUCUAAUAGAACAUGUCGAAGCAUAAUUUAUGAGGCUACUAUACCCUUACAAACGAUGAGUGAAAUUUCACCCCAAAUAACUUGUACAAUACAUUUAAACAGUCGACAAAACAAUUACAUAAUCAAAUCACUUCUAAUAGGUCAAUCACACAGAAUAAGCUCAAAUGUAUGAUUAAAUUGAAUACUAACCAAAUUUGUGUUGAAAGAAAAAACUAAGUGACAUAACUUUGAUAGACAACACCCUUAACACGUAACUAAAAGUCUAAAUACAUUUUGUUGGAUUAUCUGCAUGACAUGCCUAAUAUUUGUCCAUUUGAGUCGCCGAACCAUACACGAAUUGACCUCUUAACAAUGGGCAUGUUAAGUGUUUCUGUCCAACCAUUUAACAUGCGCCAAAAUUUAAGGAACAUUUGAUUCAAAAACUGAAAGAUGAAGUUGUUUAAUGAUGUCGACCCCUAUGUUGUGAAUGAAUACCCAAUCCAACAAAUUAGACAAUACCCCAAAUUAGACAACUAGUUUAAAUAAAAAAAAACAAAUUUUUUUCUUCUAAUAUCAAACUCAAUUUCAAAAUCAAAUUGAGUCCAACAAACUACUAUAAUCCUAAAAUCACUCUAAACAAUCCAAAAAUACUCAUCAUACCUCAUAAAAUGACAUUCACACACCACAAACAUUCUGAUGAACAAGACUUGGAUCAAAUAAGAAAGUCAAAUAACAAUACAGACCUCGAGCUUGAAUGGAAGCAAAGUUAAAAAAAAGUAAGUUGGCAUGACUAAUAACAUAGUACACCAGUACAUCCCCUACUAUCUACCCUUGGAUAUAUCCUUUAUUUAUCCAACGGUUGUGAUUACAUGUUGGUUACCUGAUCAGCCAGUUUUAUGAAAACCCAAUUUUUAGUCCCCCAAGUAUUAGUUAAUACUUAUUACUUACUAAUAAUUCACUUUUGGUCCCUGAAGAACUUGAUAUUACCCAAAUGGCAUUUAUAUUGAUCCCUCGUCUCUUCGAUGGCGACCAAGAAUUUCCUCCCAUUUUGCUUCUACAUGUGGUGGUGGUGGUUCUGAGGGUUUAUCUGGGUGGAGUGUAGAUCCUUCUUUCUAAUUUGUUAAAAUUCUGGGACUAAUAUAGAAUUUACAGAUACCUCUUACCUGUUAUAGCAGGUCAAAAAUGGAAUGGCUUGGGGAGCAAGCUAGUCAUGACACUGUAUCCCUCGGUUUUAGUUCAGACAAGACCAGCUACUUCCGAACCAAAGCCUCGGACUCAUUUCGUUGCUUCGGUCUCCUCUCUCUCUCUCUCUCUCAGUGACACUCACUCUCUCUGUCUCUCUCUUACUGUACUACCUUACUUCCUUGCUACGACACCUUCUUUAAAUACUCACUAUCAUUCCACAAAACGCGUUUUUCUCUUCUGUCCUUCAUUUGCACCCUUCUUCCAUUGCAAUGGCUAGGUGAGCUUACAUGAGCAGAUUGCAAUGAAAGUUUCAUAGUUCAGCUUGAAAGUUUGCAACUCUGGAUGUUUUCUUAGAACCCCAUUUUUUGUUUUCUCUUCAUCUUGUGAAUUUAAACUGAAAACUGUUUUGAAAACCGCAAACAAACAGUCUUGUCAUGAAAAUCCAAUUUUUCUGUUCUGGGUAGUAUUGUUCUGCAAACUUGUGUCACAGGAGGAAUGUUCACUUUGUUGCUUGUUUUGGUAAAAUUAGUCAAGUACACUGAUCUAGAUAGAUUCUGGAGUGUUACAUCACGUGGUUGAGUUUUGGCUUGUGGGGUUGAUGACUUGAUGUUGUUAUGAAGGACAGUAUUUAUGGACUUUUGUUCGUAUAUGGAUAGCAAAUGAGUGGGAACAGUGUUAAAGUGUAAUCUGAUACCCCCAUUUGGAUUUUGGAAUCUUUGCUGCCUAAUUUGGAAAAAACUUGUUGUUCCUUUCUACAACUGGUAAUGCAUUGUGGAAAGAAACACUUGUGAAGUACUAAUGGCAUGCUUGGAUCAUUUUUUCUUCUUCUUUGGGAAUCAAUUCAGAUAACCAGAAGAAGUAACUUAUAGAAGCUUCUCCCUCAAAUUGAUUUUGACUUCAGGGUCAACUUGAGUUGUGGUUUUCUGGAUGAUUGAAAUAUAGUCAUUUGUCUUAGGGGUGUGAUCAUGUGGUGUAAUGUGAUUUGGGACUGAUUUGUGUUGGAGAAAAACUUGAUGUUCCCAAGCCCCCAUGUUUAAGCUUUUGAAAUCUCACUGGCUGUAGCACCACCUAGACCUUGUGUUCAUUUUGAAAUCUCACUGGCUGUAGAAUGAAUUGCUACUAUCACAGUCUUUAGAGUUUGCUGCACUAUGGGGGCCAGAAUCUAUGACAAGACAUGGAUUUUUGUUCCCAAAGGGCCUUCUUUGAUGAUGUCUGCAUUCUCUUCCUUUGUCUUCCUCUUUGUUUUCUUUUAGCUGGUUGGAGCUCUUGUGUUUGGAUAUCAGUGGAGUGCAUGAAUCUAAAUGUACUUUCAUUCAAUCCAUAACGAGAGUAUCAUUCUCUUUUCAUGCUAACAUCCAUUUAUGUUGGUGUCAAUGGAUAUCCAAACAUAAAUCAUUGGUGCUAUUAAACACUCUCAAAUCCCAUCAAACUUUCAUCUAAAGCCCUACGUCCAGUUAUUUUUAUGAGUUCCUCAAAAUUUGGGGAUUUAGUGGGAUUUUCAACUUUCUAAUAAAGGGAGAGCUUACCCUCACUUCCCCCUUUCUUACCAUUUCUUCGCCUUCCUCUCAGAAUUUUCUUUUUUGCUCACCUAAAAAACUCUCAAACAAAGCCUAAGACAUCUUCAAAAAUUUUAGUUUCACAAGCUAACUCGUUGAGUCCUUCAUGUGAACUGUUGAUGAAUUAUUGUUUUUCUCUUUGCUUUUAUGUUUUCAGCAACCAUGUUUCUUUUCUUUCUGUAUUUGAACCAAACAUCCCUUAACUUCAUAUCUAUAUGAUGUUCUUCAAGUAAACAAUGUGUCAUUUUGAAUGAAUGCUGAUCUAACUCAACUAAGAUUAUAUUUGUUUUGCAGAAGCUGGAUUAUUGACUUUGGAUCAUUUGCAAAGAAAGUGAAAAACACUAAUCUGUCAACAGUUGAUCAAAUCAAGGACUGUGGAGCAUAUCUUGAUUGUCCAAAAUGUCAUUAUCGGAUCGACAACAGUGAUGUAUGCUAAAAUUCAACUUAAGAUUCAGUUUUUCAUCCAGUAGUUUUCAAAUUCACACAUCCACCAAAAUAGUAAAAUGCUAUAAGCCUAUAAGUCUCACAGUAAAAGUUCUAGGUGUUACCAUGGAGUUUGUGCAUGCUCCAAUUCUCCUAACCUACAUUUUUCUUCAUUUGGCUUAAGCAAUUAAUUUAAGUACUUAAAGUUAGAAGUUUGCAAAUUUUACCUUCAUACCAGGAUUAAACUCUGGAAAAUGUUAAAUUUAAGUUUUGACUGAUUCCUUUUCCUGUGUAGGUUUUUCCGGAGUGGCCUGGCUUUCCUGCUGGUGUAAAGUUUGAUCCUUCUGAUGUUGAACUUUUAGAACAUUUAGCAGCAAAGCAUUGUAUUGGAGACAGAGUGGCACACAUGUUCAUCCAUGAGUUUAUCCCAACUCUAGAAGGAGAUCAAGGUAUUUGCUACACACAUCCAGAAAAUCUUCCAGGUGAGGACUCUCUGACCCUUUUUGCUUUCAAAUAUGUAAACAUUAAGAGUUCAUUCAGCAAAUUUUGACUAAUGGACCUCUAAAAUGAAAUCAAAAUGCCAAAACUGACAAACAUAUCAAAGAAGUUGAUAACUGACCAAGAUUAAAAGAAAAAAUGAAUGAAAACACAGUAGAUUCCGGCACAUUAUGAUUCAUAAAUUAUCAGCAUCUGAAAAACAUUCUUGGGCUUAGGGGACCAAUCACUCCCUUUUAAACUAGAGCAACAAAGAUUUAGAUAAUUUUAUUGAUAUCCAAACAUUGAAUAGUAAUUUUGGUCCCUGAAAGAUUUAUAUAGGUUAGUUUAGUCCAUCAACUAUCGAAAUAUGUUAAAAUAGUCCAUUGAAGAUGUAAAGAUGUUCAAGUAAGUCAUUCCGGGAACUAAAAUUGAUAGUCUUUUUCAUCCUUCAAGGACUAAAUAGAUCAUAACUUUCAAGUAUUAGAUUGACCGUUUUUCAUUUUCAUGGACUAUUUUUCCUAUUUCCAUUUUUCAUGGACUAAGUGCAUGUUUGGAUACACGGUGAAAAGGCACGGUGAAAGCAAAAUCGCGUGGACAGCCACAAAAGCUAAGAGAAGUUGUUUCUGUCCAUCGUGAUUUUGGCUCACCAUGGUUUUCCACCAUGUAUCCGAACAUGCACUAAGUUGACUGAUCCUAUAUCUUUAAAGGACAAAAGUAACCAUUCAGUUGAUAUCUGAAUAUCCGUAACUAAAUAUCUAUACUUAUGUAUAGAUAUCAGAUCAGGACGUUUUCCUUCUUUCUCAGGGGAAGCUUGGAUUUUAUAACAAAUUUAGUGGCCUGUAAUGAUUAUCUUCUUGUUCACUUUUAUACAUAUUCUGACAAUUGAAUUUGUUGAGGGGCUUCCAUUGACUCUGUCCAAAUCUGGACUAAAUGCAGUUUUGGGCAACACAUUCUCUGAUAAAAUUCUACCCUUUCUUAUCUCAGGUGCCAGGAAAGAUGGGAGCAGUGUCCAUUUCUUUAACAGAACAGUUAACGCAUACGCUACUGGACAAAGAAAGCGUAGAAAGAUCCAUCAUCAACAUGGUUUGACUCAUGAGGAGCAUGUGCGCUGGCACAAGACAGGUAAGACCAAACCUGUGAUAGAAGAUGGAGUGCAUAAGGGAUUCAAGAAGAUCAUGGUUCUUUAUGUCAGCUCUCAGAAAAGGUCCAAGCCAUAUAAAUCCAAUUGGGUGAUGCAUCAGUACCAUCUAGGAAGUGAAGAGGAAGAGAAGGAUGGUGAAUAUGUGGUUUCAAAAGUUUUUUAUCAACCGAACAAGCAUACUGAGAAAAAUGAGGAGAAUCCAGUGGCUGAAGGUUCUGACAUGGCGUCACGAACCGAUCCAAGAACCCCAAAUCCAAAUCCUCCAAGUCGACCUCAUACUGAUAUAUAUGUUGAUUGUGAUGACAAUUUUGAUGACAGUGAACUUCCAUUACUCAUCCAGGUGUGUAGUUAUUUGCAAACUCUUUUACGAUUGAUUUUGAAGGCAGACUUUCGCUUAUGGGUUUUAGAAUUGAUACUGAUGAAAGAAAAUAUGAUCAAAACAUGCUAGAAGAUGACUUCCAUCUCAGUGAGACUAGAAGCAUGUUUGGAAACCUUUCUAUCAGGGGACUUUUGAGUUUCAGAAUUGUUUCUGAUGAAAGAAAAGUUGAUCCAAUCAUGCUAUGAAAUGACUUCCAUUGCACAUUAGUGAAGCUUGAAGCAUGGACAACUACAUGCACCAGACCCCUGGAUGGUACACAUAUAGUUGUCCAUGCUUCCGUCGCUCAAAUACUAAUGAGAGUAGAGAAAAAAUAUUUAACAUUUUUAUAUUAUUUUCCUCCUAUACACUACAUUCUUUGAUUCUUUUUUAAAAUUUUAAUUUGAUGAACUAGGAUGAUGAGUGUGUACCUCAAGAAUCACAUGCCCCACCAUCUGAUGUAAAGAAUGAGGACAAUAUGGGUGACUCUGCAUGGUUAGCUGGUGAAUCACAGGAUGUAAGUUACUUUGAUGACUUGGAUGACAUCGUACUAUGCCAGGAGAUGUUAGAUUCUUCUGGUCUCUUCAAUGAUUCUGUAUUGAACUCCUCCACUUUUAACGGUUUCACUGGUCAUGCAAAUGAGGGCCAACUUGGAAUUUCUAUCCAGGACACCUUGGAAUUGGAUACUCUUCUAGAUUUUGACUUUUCUGUAAGCACCAACUUACCCUUUUAGAGCAAGUUCUAUUUGAGACUGAUGCUCAUAUUAUCACCAUUUGGUGGAGUAGUAGUAUCUGUAUAAGAGUAUUUUAUGUCAGAGGUCAAGUCUCUAUUUGAUGUCUCUGAUGGAGUGAAAAUCCAACAGCUUAAUGUAUAAAAUUAACAAUUGAAUCAUUUGUUUUUUAACUUGAAUCAUCUGGUUUAUCAGUUUUUGUAAAAGUUAGGCUUUAGUUAGAUACAUAAUUGAUAUAUACAUUAAGCAAAUUUAAUUUAUAUCAUUUCCUUGAUCAUCAUCAACUUCAUAUACUCUUCUUCAUCUCUCCAAUCCACUUAGAAACCUCUCCUGAGAAAGCCUAACUGACGGAGGGGUAGACGGUGCAUUGUUUAAAAACAUGAGGGGUAGAAACAUCGACAAAAAUAUAGUAGGGGCAAAAUUUGCACAAACUUGAAACAUCAGGGGCCAAAAAUGCUUUUUAACAUUAUAUUUUUGGUUCCAUAAUUUAUACUAUGUGAUUUUAGCACCCUAAGUGUUAAUAGUUGCUAAUCAAGUCACUCUAUCAUUAUCAUUCUACUUAAAACUCUCAAAUUCCCGCCUUCUAAAAAAAUCAUCACGAGUUGAAUCAAUUUAAUCUUUCUAUACGCUAUUCUCAUUAAAACUCACUACUCGAAAUAUUAAAUUCUAUUCCAAAAUAAAAAAUUCCCUAAUUUCUACCUAGCUAAACCCAAAUCGCAUAUCCAAAAAAGUCCUUCAAAUUUAAUCAGAAUUUAACCAUUUUAUUUACUUUGAAACUUUUAAAAUUUUAUCAUAUAUCAAAUUCAUCAUAAAUCCUAAAAGAAUUCAAAAUAAAAUGAAGACUUAAUAAUUUUAUGCAUAAGAAAAUUGAGAAGGGUCAAAUUUGCAUAAUUUCAAAAGUAAAUGGAUUCGAUUAGUAAAAAAAAACUAGGAGGAUCAAAAUAAUACUUGACCAAAAUUUAACCGAUAAUUUUUUAACUUUUGGACUUUUUAAACUAUAUAAUACAUCAAAUCCAUCAUAAAUCCUAAAAUAAUUAAAAAGAAAAUGAAGAUUUAAUGAUUUUAUGCAUAUGGAAGUUGAGACUAACGAAAUUUGUUUGAUUUCAAAAGCAAAAGGGAUUUGAGUAGUUCAAAGAAAAAAACUAAGAGGACCAAAAUCAAACAUAAUGCAAACCUUGUGGGUGAGGGCGUCCUAGAAAAUUAAGAAGAAAAAAAACUUUGUCUUCUUAAUAACCAAGAUCUUAGAGUUCAUGUCCCUAUACCUCGUGGGCGAGGGCGCCCUUAAAAACCAAGAGAGGUCGUAAGCCCCGUUCGGUGUCCUCGACCACCCGUGAGGAUUUGGUUGCGGUUGUUGAUAGUGAUUCAGUUUCUGAUGUGGCCACACCCAUAAUUUCUCUUGCUCCACUGGCUCCGGGUUGUGCUUUGUAUGGUCGUUACUAUAUGCGGGCCAAGAAGGCCUGGCUUGUUGGUAAGUUUCUGGGGAUGAAAUUUGAUGGAAGUAACGAGGAGGCUACUGACAAUCUUAAUUUAGAAUUGAAGGAGUUGUGGCGGCCUCGAACGUUGGAGUGUUCUUUUAUUUGUUUUUUUAUUUUGGUUUUGGAACACGUGAUUGGUAUUUAAUUUAAUUUUUUUUUGUGAAUAAAAUUUUGGAUAAGUUCGGCUUCGGUCACCACAUGAUAGAGCAUGCCAUCGAGACCAAAAGUCGCUUCCAAAGAUCACCCACCAACACAACCUUACAUUAGCAACAAAAAUAAAACAUACAACUUUAUGAGGAGAAGUAAUAUGUUCUUACCAACUGCAUCAAUAUGUGUUGGUUUUGAAUUUUUUUCUUAAUGAUUUAGUUUAGACUAAAACUCUAUUUAGUCCUUUGCCGUUAACCCAUUUCUUCUCUAUCGAUUUAGUCCUUUAUAAACAAAAUAAUCAAUUAAAUCCUUGAAGUUUAAAACAUUAAUAUUUUUAAUUCUUUCACUCUUUAAUGCAUUUAGUUAUGGACUAAAAUUUGUGAACUUCAAAUUUUAAGAAUGUAAUUGAUAAAAAUUGAUUUAAUCAUGGUUUUCUCCGAAAAAUAAAAACAAAUACAUAUAUCAAAGUCUCCAAAACCUUGUUGUAACAAAAAAAAAGUCUCCAAAACCCUGUGAUAGUUUACCCUCGCCUCGCCCAUGUCUAAACCCAAAACGAGAGAGAAGUGCAGAGUGUGAGUAAUCGGUGACCAAAACGCAGCACGAAAUCAAGAAUGUUCGGUGCCAGAAAUCUGCAGAGGCAGUGCUUCAAGCCCCUCUCUUCUCUCCUUCAACUUCAACUUCAACUUCACUCCAAUCUCUACAAGUACCUAUUCUCUACCCUUUUCCCCUCUAUCUCUCAAUAUAUCACUUAUAAUUCAUAAAUGGAUCAAACCCUUUUGCUCUUUCCCCUCAAAGUUUCUAACUUCACCCCAUUCACACCCCAUUUCUUCUUAACUAUAGCUUCUCACUGUUAUUACUCUCUUUUGUAAAUUCUUCAUUUUUUCAAUCAUUUUUUUUAAUUUUUUAACUCCCAUCAGUUUGAAAUUUAUUAGUUUUGAUUGAAGUGCAUUUUGUUAGUUGAAAUAAUGAUUAUUUUGUAAUGGGGUAUUUUUUUUUUGAGUUCAGAAAUGUUGUGCCUUUAGGACAUAGGACUGAGCAGAGCAACAUAGUUAAAGUGGAGCCGUACCAUGAUGUUGGUUUGUGUGGUUAUGUUAAGCCAUUUAGUUUCAUGAAUGGAUCAUCGUCGCGGGCGAUGUCAACAUCGAAAGGAAGGAGCAUGCGAAGCAAGGUGGAGAAGAGGAUGCAGAAGGAGUCUGGUAAGACAUUAAGGGAGAUACGUAGAGCUAAGAAAUUGAAGAAGAAGCUUAUGACAGAAGAAGAGAGGCUUGUUUACAACCUCAAAAGAGUAUGUUAUCUAACUGCCCUUCUAAUGGUUGUUUGGACUUUACUUUGUUAUCCAUGUUUUUACUUUCAUACUUUGUUUUGAGAUGUAAUAGUUGUCUUAGAUUGUGAAUUUGAACUUUGAUGCAGUUUGAAAGUUCUGUAUUCUAAUUUUAAAUGACUUGGACUAUAUUACAAAGUAUUUACAAUAACAAAAAUAAAUAUGCCUGCAUGUUACUUCUGUGUUAAAGUGGUAAACAGAAUUGGCUCAUAUAGGAGAUACCUGAACUUAGAGUUCUGUCCAAAAAGAGUCCAGACUCAAGAGUUUCUGUGAUCACAACUUUUGUUUGUAUGACUAUUCCAUUGAUUGAUUGAGAGUUGUGAGGUCCAGGGUACCACAAGGAAGUAGGAAUUGGGUUAAAUUAAAUAGAUGAGAACUAUGGGAACUAUCUUUGUGUGUGUGUGUGUGUGUGUGUGUGUGUGUGAGAGAGAGAGAGAGAGAGAGAGAGAGAGAGAGAGAGAGAGAGAGAGAGAGAGAGAGAGAGAGAGUGUAUUGCUUGGGAUUGUUUUUCCUUCUUCAUUGAAGAUAUUGAAUAUUCCCCAUUAGCUUUAAGCUGUUGUCAUUUUAGUUACUUAUUUGGUUUUGAUUGUUUAGUUAUUAGCAGCACAUAGAAGAUAAUCAUGAAGUGAAUUUUUCAAGUCAUGAUAAUUGAUUGCAUGUUUGUACUACCUGAUAAAUUUUUUGCUUGAUUUUGGUGUAGUGCUCAAACAUGGUAUAUAGUCUUGUGAAAAGGGUAGUGGGAGGCAAAAAGAACAUGGGGAGAUAUUGUUAAAAAUGAUCUUAUUAUCAAUAAUAUUCCCUUUAAUUUGGUUUUUUAUCGAGCUCAAUGGCGUAGUGUGAUCCAUAUAGCUGACCUCACUUAGUGGGAUAAGGCUUUUGUUGUUGUUGUUGUUGUUUGUUUGGCGUAGUGGUCGUUAUAUGAACAUUUGGUUAAAUCUUACUUGCCUACCUUCCAACUAUUUCAGGCGAAGAAGAAAGUGGCAUUGCUAUUGCAAAAACUCAAGAAAUAUGAGCUACCAGAUCUGUCUUCUCCUCGGCAUGACCCGGAGCUCUUAACACCUGAGCAGCUUCAGGCAUAUAAAAAAGUUGGAUUCAAGAACAAGAACUAUGUCCCUGUUGGUGUUCGUGGAGUCUUUGGAGGAGUUGUGCAAAACAUGCAUCUCCAUUGGAAGUUCCAUGAGACUGUGCAAGUUUGUUGUGACAAUUUCCCCAAGGAAAAAAUAAAAGAAAUGGCUUCAAUGCUUGCAAGAUUGAGUGGUGGGAUUGUGAUAAAUGUUCACGAUGUGAAAACAAUCAUUAUGUUCCGUGGUAGAAACUAUCGUCAACCCAAAAAUUUGAUACCUAUUAACACCCUUACAAAGAGGAAGGUAUGGUUGCAUUGUUAUAUUCCUGUUAGAAUAUAUGAAAAAAAAUUAUAAUAUUUGUAUUGUAUCUUAAAGAAAUUUAGAACAUAUCUGUUAGGAUUAGAUUCCAUAUUUCUUUUUACUUCAUAAUUCGUUUCCUUAUUUACUUUGGAUUAGGAGUCUAUUAGUUAUCAUGAUUAGUUCCUUUAUUCAAUUAGUUAAGGAUUCAGAUAAAAAGAUGUAGGUUUGAUAACUCAAAUCUGCUUGUUACUUUUUUUAAUUAAAAAGAAUUGUCUGGUCCCUAGUUAUGGUAUAUACUGUACAAAGAACUUUGUGGUGCCGGAGGUAAUGUAUUUUUUCCCAAUGUUGUAUACAGGCUCUAUUCAAGGCCAGAUUUGAGCAAGCUCUUGAAUCUCAGAAGUUAAACAUAAAGAAACUAGAACAGCAGCUCCGACGGAUGGGAGUAAAUCCUGAGGAUCCAAGUGCUAUGGCCAGCAUCCAAAGAGUCGCUUCCACGUUUUUCAAUGCCAUUGACAAGAAAGAGGGAAGUCCUUACGUGUUCCGUGACGGAAAGCAGUCAAUAACAGAACCUAUUGAAGAUAAAGGAGAGUCAGAGCCUUCUUUUGAUAGUGAUCAGGAAGAGCUAGAUCAAUUCAUUGCUGAUAUAGAGGAUGCAGCAGAUAAAGAAUAUGAAGCUGAAGAGGCCAAAGAAAAUGAAGAGAUGAGCAGAAUUAGAUAUUGGAACAAAGAAGAUUUUGGUGGAAGAUUCAGAAGAUCAGAUGUUUCUAGAAAUGAUGACUAUGAUGGUGAGGUUAGAGUCUCAAGGGCUUGGCAGACUGCACGUCCUAAGCAUCGGGCUAGGGAUAGUGAUGAUGAAGAGAAUGCCCAUUCUGACAAUGAUGACGGUGAUGAUGAUUUUGCUGGAAGAUUCAAAAGAUCAGGUGUUUCUAGAAAUGAUGACUAUGAUGGUGAGGUUAGAGUCUCAAGGGCUUGGCAGACUGCACGCCCUAAGCACCGGGCUAGGGAUAGUGCUGAUGAAGAGAAUGCCCAUUCUGACAAUGAUGACAAUGAUGAGUGGCAUUCCAGUAAUAUUGCUGAUGAUAGUGAUAUUGAUAGCAAUGGCUCUAAUGAAGGUAGAGGUAGGUUCAAGGAAAGUAGAACGGGGAGAGAGAUGGGUAGGACCCGAGUCAAUGGAAGUCCAAAUAGACACGUUGAAGGUAAAUUUAGGAGGAACAUGGCCAUAGAAGAUUCUGAAUCAGAAGGCAUGCUUAGUGAUGUUGAGAAUGCAAUGUGGGAGUCUGAUGAGGAUGAAAAUGACUCAGGACAUCUGAGACAGGUCAGGGACAACUACAAGAGUAGCAGCAGUGAUGAUGAGCACACGUUUCAAAUAAAGAGAGACAAAAAGAAUGGUAUGAGGGAUCAUAAGCGUAAGGUUGAUGAUCCCGCUCCAUAUCAUAGUAGUUUUGAUGCACCAAAGAGUGUGAGAGGGACCCAAGAAGGAAAUGGCAGAACCGAUUUUGAGUCCACAGAUGUAUUUAGCGGUCGAGAAAGCUGGUUGUGGGAUUCAGAUGCUGAGGAGGACUCAAGAGUAUCAAGAUCUGCUAGGGAUGGGAACCACCCCACAAGUCAAAAUAGCAAUGUGGUCAAAAGUGAUAUCCAUAAGAGGAGAACACCAAAAGAAGCUGAUGAGGCUUGGGACAGUGACUAGCCCAGUAAAUGUUAGAUCAUAUUUCUAGGAUGUUUGGAUCAACUCAUCUUUCAUCAGAAUCGUUUUUGAAACCCAAGAACUACUCACAGAAGCUUCUCCCCAUAAUUGAUUCUGCCUUGAGAAUCAAUUGUAGAAGGAUAUUCAAAUAUGCACUUGAUUAUGGUAUUUAUUUUGGACUGUGUUUGACAAGCGGACAUUGUUUUCUGGUCAAAGACAAGCAGACUUGAAACAAGAAAUUGGUCCAAACAAAAUCAAGAAGGUAUGAAGCACAAGAUAGCCUAAUUUUUUCAGUUCUCACAUGGAGCUUCCUCUUACUAUUAACCUGAUAGUAAUGUUAUCUGCACAAGUUACUACUGCACUUCCAGUCAUAUGAUGCAUGUGGCAUAUUUUUUUAGUGUUGUUUGAGGAAUCAAACUUGGACCUUAUGCAAAGAUUAUUGUUUGAAUGGAAGUUUUGAUCGUGAAGGAAUUGAAUUUAAUCAAUUGAAAUAGAAAGAAAUGUGGAAUUCAUUGAUUAAUUUGUAACUAAUAAGGUACGUAAGAUAUGUCCAAUGUUAAGUGCAUGUUUGGAAAACCUUCUAUAGAGACUUUUAGAGAGAACCAUUUCUAGAGCAGAACCAUUUCUAGAUAGUUUUUGAGUUUUAGAAUUGUUUCUGAUAAAAAAGAAGCUCAUCCAAACAUACUAUAAGUCACACAUGUCAAUCGAAUCCUAGUCUUGCUAAAUGGUAGCUCUACUUGGGCAGGUCUUAGAGGCUAUGAGAAGAAACACAGACAAGCAUUAAACAAAUAGGAAUGAUUUUUAAUGCAUUUUUUGUCAGGGGCAAAUAUGUAUCUUUUUCUGACUAUAUUAAAUAAAACCCACAAUAUGAAUGUGCUUGUUGCAUAGAUGCAAUGCAAAUGAGCAUAUGAUGUAUAUAUUUAUAUGUAGCCAUGAAGUCUAAUUAACUCAAGUCUGGUCUGCUCUAGAAAAGUCUUCCAUUUCAGAAGUUCUAGGCACAUAAUGAUAUUCUACAGCAGAAUUUGCCAAGAAUGGAAAGACAAUUCUGAAGUGUCUAUGAUGCACUCUUAUCAUUUAGGAUUAUGGAAUGUGAUUGACUCUGAUCGAGUCGGGGUACUCAAAUGUUAAUUGAUCUUUAUGGCGUGCUUCUUAUAUCAAUUAGAAAUUUUAUCCAUAGGAAAAAAGUAUCUAGCAUAUCUAUUUCCUCAUAUUUUGAUUUUUAUGAAGUUUCUUUCUUAGCUGCAGCUGCUAGUAAUCGUUGUUUUGGACAAUAAAAUAUGUAGAAAGCCUUUUUUAUUUUUUUAUAUAUAGUGGAGAUAGUUGCACAUAAUGACAAAUCACAGCCCCAUAUUGUUAAAAGCUUGAGGAGGACGGAUUUCGUUUGAGAGUCUGAAAAUAAUAUUCCACCAAAAUUUAUUGGUGGGGGGCUGGACCGUGAAUGCAUGUUGAGACUAUAAAGAAGAGGAGUGAUAGAAAAUAAGUGUAAGACACAAACUACAAAAGGACCAAUAGUGUCAAGUGUUAAAUGCCCACAACAAGCAUGAUGCGCUAGACUCUUAACAACAAUGUUGAGGAAAAUGACUAGUUCAGCAUUAUGAAACACAAGAUGAAAACUUUGAAGAGUCAAUUGUGUAAUGAUCUUGAUCGUUGAAGAAUGAGACAACUUAGUGGAGUUCCCAAUUUUUAAGACGGGCUCUUUAGUCUUGGGUGGUGGGGACUCAGAUUAGUCCUCAACUCAAAACUACAAUAUUUCAUACCAAAAAAAAAAAAACUACAAUAUUUGGUUCCUUCAAGUCUUUGAUAAUGAAUAAAAACACUCAAUUUCUAGGAAAAAGGUUAAAAUGAUUGGUGAACCACGCUACAGUAAAAAUCACACUGUAACAUCUCUAUUGGCGGUUUCAGAAAGUCACAAAACGUAUUAUAUCAAGUUUCCCCUUUGGGAAAGUCUUUAAUCACCACAAAAUGAGUGUCUGGACACCAAAAAGCUGUCCGUGAAUUGGCCCUGAAAAAGAUCCGACCGUUGUGGCACAAGUCAACACAGUCCACUUAAAAUACAAGUCAUGUGCAAAAUUAACAAUUAAAUACUUUACCCAUAAAAUAUAUUGUUGCAAAACUGUGUACAAUUGUGGCAGAAAAUUAAUUUUCUGUGAAAUCACAAUAUCAAUGGUUAUAAUCAUAGUUUUAAAUUGCGGUCCACAACCACAAUUACGAUCGCACCAUAAAGGAUUUCCGACUCCUUGAAUAGGCAUCACGGCCGCAAUUGCAAUCGCUCAACCCGCAUUUGUCCGCAAUUCCGCAACACAACAACAACCACAAUUUAAAACCCUAGUUGAAACAUUUUUGUGAAAAAAAAAACAAGAAGAUGAAUCAAAGUUGAAUAUCAAAAUGUUGUAAAGAAGUAGCUAAAACUAGAGAUGUUCAAGUUCACAACCUAAGCCGUCAGAGUAUGUGUAUAACUUAGUCCAAGAAAUCCAAAUUCCCAUACGUAAAUGCUGGGAAUUUCUUGCAACUAUAUUGAGAGCAACUUGAGAUUUAUGCAUGUCCAAAAGAGAAUGUGCAAAAACUUGUUAAAAGCUGAACACUUUCCCUCACAAGAAGCUUCUCACUCAAGAUUCUCACAUGUCUAUGUCAAACUCCAAGAUUCCAUUCAGGCUCUUCCCUCCAAAAACGGGUCACCAUUUGCUUGGUAUAAUGUGUGUUUGUACAUGACCACACCACAGCUAUAGUUCAUUCAAUGUUGCUAUUUUUGGUGUUAUGCCCAAAAUCAAUAGAUCUCAUAUUCAAAAGCUCAGCUACUUUCUCUUCUGCAGUUACCAGGCAACAAGUACUUGUAUCUCUCUGCAUUAUUCAACAAGUAUGAUGGAAGAUGCACUGCUGAGUAAGAAUGAGGAAUAGGUCCCAUCUUCCCAAUAAUCUCCUUAAAUGUAUACUCUUCAGGAAGCAUGUCAAACAGGUCACUUCCUUUGCAUAUCACAUCCUGAAUCCUGUCAUGGUUCAAGUAAUGAGCGAACCGCACCCGAUCAUAAUGGCUGUAAGCCUUCAUCUUGAAUACGAAUUCACUUACACGGCGGAAACAGAAGCUACAAUGCCAGCCAGCAUCUGACAACAACACAUCACCCUGCCUGUAGUGCGCGUAGCGCGUCUUGCCGGUUCGGUAUCUAUGAAUUGAAGCUCUCCAACUUUGAUUGUCAAGAAAAAACUCAAAAGAGUACAAGUAGUUCUUCAGCUGAAGAUGAAGAACAUCAGGGAUGUCACUGCACCACCUCAAGAGGUUAAUUGUGUGUGCACUAGGAAUCUCAUCAACAUCAGACAUUAUCAAGAGAUCAUCAUCUUCUAUUCCGGCUUUCUCCAGAAGCCGGUCCAGGACGACUCUUUGAUACGCCUCUUCAACAAAAGGAUUCUCCCCUUUCCUAGAUCCUCCCCCAAUCACCCCGUAUGUCAGGCGAGACUUGACAAACUUAAAAUUGUCCCGAUUGCUUGCGAAAACCAAAGGUUUAGACAAUCCUGUGAAUGUUGAGUUUGAUUCAAGGAUUACAUAGUGUGUCACAUAUGGAUGCAGUUCUUUCCAACGAAGAGUAAGAAUGUCAACUUCAUUGCUAAACAAAACAACAUCAAAGACGCGCCUAGGUGAUUCGCGAAUUCCCCAACCGUGAAGACUGCAUAGAGUUUCCAUUGAGACAUUCUCAUGGUAAUAGUGAGGGAUUUCAUGGAAGGGUUUUGGAGGAGAUUCCCAUAGUGGUCUCAGAAAGUAUGAGAUUUUCUGGCCAUGAAAAUAAACAAAGAUGAUGCCUGUUGGGAUAACCAUGAACAAAAAUAUGAAGGUCUUGAUGUCCAACCCUCGGAAAAUGCACCGGAGUCUUCUUGACAUGCUCAAAGCUGCACUAGUUCCCUGCUACAUUGAAAACAAAAAUUCUUUAGGUUUCAUGGAUAAUUUAAUGACCAAAAGUAUCAUGCUGCUGAGUGAUGAGUAGUUCAAAAACACAAGCUUGUACCAUGUCAUCUUCUCAUGAAAAUAUGAUUUAAAGCAACUACAGAAAAUGGAGUUGAAAACGAUAUACCACAACAACAAAAAAUUCUAAAAUUACACAAUUAUGAAAGGCACAUGUUUCUUCAUUUCCUAGCUCAAAUAGCUGUCAGGUCAAUCCUGAAUUCAUAUCAUCACUGAAUCUGAACCAUUCGAUCAAAGAUCACACGAUUCAUAUGUUUCAUCAAGAUCGGACAAAUUUCUAAACUUGAGAAAUCAAACAACUCAGAUUCAGGAAGAAAUUAGGAUUUCCCUGACUGCACAAAAUCCAAAUUCUGGAUUCCCUGAGCAAAGGGAAACCAAGUGAAGUAGAGGGUAGAGAGAGAGAGAGAGACAGAAAGGGUAAUAAAACAUUGAAAGCUGAAAUGAAAUUCACAAUUCAAGAGCUAGAUAGAAAAGCUACACUUCAAACUUCAGAUGUUAAAAAACUAGACAACCAUAGAGAAAUUACGUAUCUACAAAGGAUUGAAACUAUAGCCCACUAAUAAAAAGCAUAGACCCAUCAACAUACACAAAUGAAUCAUAUUUGAUAUCUGUAUAACCACAGGGAUGAGAUAAGCAGGAAUGAACUGAGAGAAGCAUUGAAAAGUAAGUGAUCAUCACUGAUGAAACCCAAUAUGUUUCAAGUUCCCAUUUUAGCAUGGACAACACAACUUUAAAGAACAACCAAAUUUACAACCAAGUAGAAACAAACCAGACAUAAAGAAAAAACCCAAUUUGGGAAAAUAGAGAAAGAAAAGAAAAGAAGUACCUGGCUACAAACAUCCCCACAUAUGUCAUCAGUCUUCUUGGAGUUAUAAUAUCCCUCUGACAUGAUGAAGAACAACAAUAAUUGGGUUGCAGUUUCUUCUUUGUUCCUCUCUGCUCCCACUAAAGUAUCAACCAGUUAUCACUAAGAAUAUGAAUAGCAAAUUGCAGUAUUUUUUUUUUUGUAAAGCUAGCCUACAACCUUUGUAGCUAUGACUGUGUGAGUUUCCCUAGCCUUAGCAUUGUAGUGUAACGUCAGUUACAUUUAUAGCCGUUUGGUGUCCCUAUUUUCUUGUCUUCCGGGAACUUUGAGUAAUGUAUAUAAGUAAAUAAUAGUAGUAAGUAGUAGUAAUAUACAAUUUGUUUAUUAAUAUAUGUUAUUUUUGUGCUUAUGUAAACUUGUUUGUUCUGUGUCACACUCACAUGAUUAUAGGCCAAAACAUUGAAAAAAUCGAAACCCAAAGGCAGUGUCAAGGUUUGUUCUGAGAGAACUAGGUAGCAUUGGAUGAAAAUGGCAGCUGUUGACACGACACCAUGCCAACAAGGCACAACUACACAAACAAGCGCAGUGGAAUUGUCUUUAGUAGUGGAAGUAUGGAACAGGCUUAAAAUAUGAAUUUGACUUAUUUUUACGUUCAAAUUUGAAGGGAAAAACUCUUAAUACCCGUAAACCCUCUCCCUACACCAUCAAUUUUUUGAUCUAUUCAUAUCGGGAACAUUUACAUUCUAGUGAAGUUAGUUCUGUUAGUGAGAGUUUCUUCCAUAAACAAAAUUUAUAUUCAAAAUUUUAUUUAAAGAAAAUCAAACAUAUACCACUUUAACAAAAAACUUGUUUAUUUUGAAAUGCUUAAACUACCUCAAUCCCUACCUCACCCCAUAUUCCUCUACCUUUACUACCCAUUAUAGGGGUGUUGAUUGAUUUAAAAAGACAACGACCUAAUGAUCCAAACUAAAACAAUGUAGUCGAUGCAGAUUUGUUUAGUUAAAUUGGUUCACUUUAUCUUCAAUCUGAACCAAACAAAUAUACUUCGAAUAUAUCAUAUGUGCUUCUUUUAUGCACCUCAUUUGUGGGAGAGGGUGCUAUGCCAAUUCAGGUAUUUACAACUCAUUUUAAGGUCAUAUCUACUAUUGGCACACAUCCAGCGUUGAUCCACUUUAGGGGCUUAGAGUACGAAUUGGUUGUACUUGGUUGAUGGAGAAUUCAAGGUCAAGGCGACCACACAUAGACGAUGCAUGCUAGGAUAGUUAGACUCUCUAUUAUAUUAAUGUGUUCAUAUUGACUUUCUUGCAGUUGUAAUUAUUGUCUAUUUCUCUUAUUAAAAAAAAAAACCACUACUUUAAAUUAUUACACUAUAGAAUUAGUACCCCAACUAUGUUUGGAUAGAGAAGGUUCCGCCGGAUUAUGCUCGUUUGGUUGUUUCUGAUGUAACUGUCUCUAUGACUAUUUAAGCUCUUUUUAAUAAAUUUUCCAGUUUCAAAAAAAAAAACUGAAAUUAUGAAAAUGAUAGUUAAAAUAAUCAAAGAAAACAAGCUUACAACUAUUUUUUCAUAAAUAAUUUGCAGAACCUUUAAAUUUACAGUCCGAUGUUUGUUUUCAGAAACUUUAAAACUUCUAGGGCUCUAAUGCUUGGAUUACAGAUAGCUUGGGACCGAGGGUAUAGAGAUGUCAUUUGCAACGUGGAUUGCCGCGAGCUCCUCCGGGUGUUGGAUGAUCAGGAAACCUGGAUCUUCAUCCCUGUUUUGCGUGAAAUUCAUGAGCUGAGGAUGAGAAGUUGGAAUUUGACUCUUAUUGCAAUCAAUAGAGAUUGUAAUCAGCCCGCGGACUGGCUAGCUAAGAAGGGUGCAUCGUCUCCGUCUAUGGCAAUCGGUGUUCUUGAAGCUCGGCCGUCGGCGUUAGAGAUCCUCAUUUUGAGAGAUCGUUUGGCUAUUCCUUAGUUUUCAUUUAUUGUUGUUAGUUUUCCAGUGUAGCAAAAAAAAAAGAAACUUUAAAACUUCUGAAAAAUAUUCCAAUUUAAAUUUCAACUUCAUUUCAAUUUCGCUUGUACCUCACACUUUUUUAAGGGUAUUUUAGAAAGUAAUAAAAGUUGGAUGGUGUAGAAAGAGAAUAAUUAACAAUGUAUUAGUUGAAUGGUAGAUAAAUUAGACCCCAUAAAAUGAUAAAAAUGAUAAUACAAGUUUGAAUCACGUGUAAAUCAUCUAUUAAGCAAGGAACUAUCAAAAUUCCUUGUACGAGACCAAAAAAAAGUGAAAACCCCGCCAAAGAAAAAAUAAGGAAAAGGGAAAAUGACAUUUGGCAUUACAUAUUCUCUAAAGAAUUUGAAAGAAUUAAUUUUGAUGGUUUAUGCCAUCACAUCUAUAUAUAUAUAUAUGUAAAGGAGACUUGAAAAAAUAGCAUUAAUCACAUUAUCAAUAAGAGCAUUAAACACAUUAAGAAUGACUUCAAAGUCAUAAAUUAAAAAUAAUUUGUUACCAACUUUUGAGGUUCUCAUAAAAAAAUAAUUUUUUAAGUAUUAAUUAAAAAUAGUUAUAACUUUAAUUAUUAAUAAUAAAUUGAGAAAAAUUUAUAUAUUUUUUAAACAAAACAUAUAAAUAUAUUUAUAUGUAAACAGUAUUAAAAAUUAGAUUAAUUAAGUAAAAAUAAUAUUUAUUAAUAAAAAUCAUUAAGAAAAAAUAUUUGAAAUCAAUAUAUAUCUUCUUUAAUACAUACGUAAAUGAGACUUGAACCGUAGCAUUAAAUACAAUAGUAGAAAUGAAGACCCCUUGUUUAACUCUUUAAAAAACUCAUGACUUUUUCAUUUUUCAUAUUGCUUACUCCCUAUCUUUAAUGAUAAAAAACUAAAUUUUCCUAUAUAAACAAAUUAGACACUCAUAAAAUGAAACUAGGUAAUGUUUUCAUAUAUGAACAAAUACCGAGAAUUAAUAUUAAUUAUUAAUAAAUGAUUUAGACAAAAUAAUUUUAAAAUUAAAAUUUUCGCAAUAAGGUGUUUGUGUAUUAUUUGGAAAAAAUUAUAUAUUUUUUGAUCUAUUAUAUAUUAGUGAAAAUAACUUAACAAGGAGGAAGCUAAUUACAAACAAAAAAUUUACGUUAUUUAUAUUUUAAAAUAUGUUGUUUUUUUUUUAACUUAAAUAUGUUGUUAUUAUUAUAACUUAUUUGAUAAAAUAUUUCAAACUUACAUAAAUUUUUUAAUUUAAAAAAUAAAUUAAUUAUUAAAAAUAAUUCAAUACUAAUUAUUAAAAUAAAUUAUUAAAUUUGAGUAUAUAUUUAUUCACACAAAGAAGACUUUAAAUUGUCUCCAGAUUUUUAUAAUACUUCUAAUUAAUUUUUUUUAAUAUUCCUUUAAAGUAUAAUAAUUUUUUGUAAUGUUAAAAAAUUGUAAAUAAAUCCGUGCAUCGCACGGGUAUUAUAUCUAGUUACAAACUUAAAUUUCAAUCAUUGUUACCAUAGAUUUCCCCUGCUACAAGAUUUAAUAAUGGUUCGUCUCAUUCGUUCAUUAUAUUUGUGGUGUAGUAUAACACCUCUCCUUUGGAAAAUAUUAUAUUCAUAUCCCAAUUCCACUCCACAUCAAGAAAGAUAAAAAUAGAGGAGAGUAAAAUGAGAAAUAUAAUUGGUAUAUAUAUAUAUAUAUAUUUUAAUAUUGUUUAUCUUUUCAAGAGGGUUAAAUCGAGGUCCAAAAACUUAUCAUAAAGCCCGUGGUUCCAUUUGUGGGGAGCUCAUCUUUUAUUGACUUGGUAAAUAUCAAAAUAGAGGAGAUUUCUUUUACCAUGACCCAUUUUUCUACAUGCACCACCCGAUUAUCCUAAUAGGAUGAGAUGGGAAAGAGGUGGGAGAGAGGAGAAAAAAGAUUGGUAUAAAGGAACUCAUGUAGAUUAAAAAAUAAUAAAGUCUGAUUAGUUAAUUUAAUUCAAUGAGUGAGUUGUUGGUCAAGAAGAACUCAAGAUUGAAAAAGCCCCCACUUGAAGUGAGUUAUAAAAGUGCAGGUCAUAAACCAUUAACCAAUUUGACACCUCUACGUCCGCUGACGUCUAAGGUGGAUCAGUUAAAAUAAUGGUCCACAAUGAACCGCUACAUGAAUUUGAUAGUUUUGUAAAAUUAGGAACCAUGAUGGACUAUCUAAUUAAAAAAUUUCAAAUUAAAUAACAAUCAAACCAAAGAAUUUACCAAAAUAUAUUUUCUUCAACCUCAACCCUCAAUCUAAUUUCAUCUCUCUCACCAUAGGAGAACCCGAAGAAGACGCGGUCGCCGAGCCUCUGCUCACUCGCGAACAGUAAGUAUCCACUUAAGACCAUGGUAAAACAAGUCCAUAAUAGAUUUCGCCUCUACCUCCAAUAAAUCAUUUUUUGAAACUCAAUUACAUCUUGACUUCUUUAGCAUAAUGUUAGCAAUUUCUCUCUUGACCAAAACUAAUAGAGCUUCACCCUCCAGUAAAGCCCAUGGGCUUAUUUCACAGAAAAAGCCCAAUUUGAAACCCAAACAAUAUGCAUUUGACAGUUACUGUGUCAUGUGUGUGAUCUCUCUCUGCAAUCAUAAUGACAAGUGUUUUGUCAACAUAACCAAGUUUAUGCACACAACCAAGCCUUCUCUUCUGAUUCGAAGCUGAGACCACGUUCUCUACUCAAACAAACCAUCAAUUUCAAUUCCAAAACUACAAGGUACCUAAAUUUCUUCCAUUCAUCUCUAAUUUCUAGGGUUCUUACAAUUUCUCAAUCCCCAAUCAAAGAGCUAUAUUUCGAUUAGGAUCAUUGUCAAUUGAAUCUGAUUUGUUGAUUUUUGGUUUCUUUUCAAGGAUUCUGUACACUCCUGAGCUAUGAAGAUGGAUUUGAUGUCUGGUUACAAGGUAAAUUUUGACUCUAACUGUUUUUUUUUGGUUCAGAUUAAUUUCGUAAAUUUUGUAACUUUAUAUGUUUAUCUCAGUCUUAAUGCAAGCAACUCGAGGUUAUGGAAAUUAAUUCUUGUUUAUAAAAUAAUGAUCUUUUGUGAUUUUUGUGUGCAGGGGGUUGUGGGGCUUGUUUUUGGCAAUGAGAAUUCUUCAAAUGAAGAUAGGUGAGGUGUUUUUGUUUUGUUUUUAAAUAAUGUUCUUAAGAUUCUUUUUUUACGUUAUAUUGCACGUCUCUGCUUGUCUCUUUCAAUGGUUGCUGUGCUUUUAGUUCAUGAAUUGUGCCAGGUUUUUGGCGGUACUCUGUAUGUUUAGUUAAAAUUAUUUGUAGAAGAACCCUUAAUUUAAGUAUAUUAGCUUGGUUAGCCAUGCAUUUUAGGUUUUAGUAAUCCUGCAUUCCUGCUUCAGUAUAAUUAGGAGUGCUAAUGGUCUUGGUCUAUUGAUAUCCAAAUUAUGGUGGGUAUAGAUUUUUUUUUGGAUUAUUUUCAUUGUCCCUUGCUGGUGGGUGCCAGUUGAUCUGAACUAUUUUUUUUUUUGUUGAAAUUAAUUUCCAUUGCUUGUUGAAUUUGAUCUGCUGCCUUGGAUAUUAUUUUUCAGUUUUCUAAAGUUGUUCCUUGGCUGACUAUUUUGAAUUCGAAAGUUGUUCCUUGGCAGUGUUUUAUAGUUUUCAAUUAUCUCAGUGGAGAUUUUUUGUUUCUUUUCUUUUGAGUUUUGAUCAUCCGUGGCUUGAGCUAAAUACUAUAUAGACUGGAAUACCUUAUACUUAGCGCAUCAUUCUCUUUGAAUUGUCUCAAUAGCUACGUUGAGCGCUUGCUUGACCGGAUAAGCAAUGGUAAACUACCAGAGGACAGGAGAAAUGCUAUUAUUGAGCUUCAAGCUGUUGUCGCAGAAAGUCAACCUUUCCAGUUAGCAUUCGGGGCAAUGGGUACAUCCUGUCUCUCAAACUAAUUGGUUGAGUUUUUCUCUCUUGUUUAAUUGAAAAUUUUAAUACAUCUUUGCAGGCUUUCCUAUAAUGUUAAGCGUCCUUAAGGAAGAACGUGAUGAUGUUGAGAUGGUGGGAAAGCAUUCUUCCCUUUCAUGUCUACUGUCUACUUAUUUUUGCUGUUUCUUGUGUUACUCAAGGAUUCCGAUCAUCAAAUUCAUCUUUUAUAAGAAGAUAUUAGAAGGGAAAACAAAAAAAAUUGACAGUGAAAUGUGAGAACUUGAUUUUCAACCGUUCCAGUUUACCAUAUUGAAUCUGGAAUUGAAUACAGUCUUCACUUUAGGACUAUCUUCUUACGUGCCAAAUUGGUAUUAUGGUCAAAUUUUACAUUCAUGUGUUGUAUUUUAAAGGAAUUUCCUGACUCAUUUCGUAUCUGAAUUUUCUGUAUUUAAAUUAGAGCUUCUUCAGUUUACUAAUCGUGGACCUUUUAUGUUCUAAAAUAUAUUUGUCUUCCAUAGUUCCAUGCAUGAGUUCUAUGAUAUUCUUUGCAGCACUGGCCUUUAAUUUUAUUUGAUAAAGUUAUUUUUUGAAGAUACUUUAGACACCAAUGCAACACUCCAACCAUCAACUCACUGUGUUGGGUAGGAUGUGUAGGCUUUGCUGUUCUCCUUUGUUGAUGAGAGUGGUUCAGUUAGAUUCUGAUUUUUUCCCCAUUUAUGGAUGUUAAAUGAAAACAGUUCAAUAUUACAGUCUUGCUUCAUUCCUUGUUUCUCCACCAACCCUUGUUUCUUAGAUGGAUUUCUCUCCAUAUAGUUGUAUUGUACCGUAUGCUUUUUAUAAUGUAUAAAGUCUCAACAGUUUGUUUAUUGGAUUUUUUAUUCAUACAGGUUCGUGGAGCCCUAGAAACUCUUGUUAGUGCAUUGACUCCUAUUAAUCGUGCAAAAGGGUCAAGUAAUGAAGUUCAACCAGAUUUGAUGAAUACUGAUUUACUUUCUAGAGAAGCAGGAAGUAUCUCUCUUCUUCUAAGUUUGCUGGUAAGAAUAUAUUUUCUAAAAUCAUGGGGUGUGUUCUGACUUCUGAAUUAUAUCACUGGAAGUUUCCUAGCCUUCUUGGCUUAUCUAUUUAAAUCACAAUAUUUUCGUUUGUAAUUUUUUCUUUGGGAUACUUUGACAGGAAGAGGAUGAUUUCUAUGUACGAUAUUAUACUCUACAAAUAUUGACUGCCCUUCUCACUAAUUCUCCACAGAGGUAUUAGUUUUAUAGUCUCUAUGUUGGUUUGAUUCCUGAAAAUUUUAAAUCAAAGCACCCUUGCUGACUACCUCUUCAGGUUACAGGAAGCUAUAUUGACUAUCCCUCGUGGUAUAACUCGGUUAAUGGACAUGCUUAUGGAUCGUGAGGUACAAGACUUGUAGAUUCUAAAAUAAUCUCAGCAAUCUUUUCAAUCUUAAUAAUUGAUUUUUGUCACAUGUCUAUACAAAAUAUACUUGUUUAACCUUUCCACUUAUAAUUACUUGUUCAUACUUGGCUGUUAUUAUUCCUUGGAUAUUGAUCAAGUUUUACCUUCUAGGUAAUAAGGAACGAGGCCUUAUUGCUUCUUACUCAUCUUACCCGUGAAGCUGAGGUAAUCAUUUUGCUCUGAGUAUUUUUUUCCCUUUACUUCACUAACUUUUUUUUUUGUUAGUUGGCAAAAUUUUGUUAUCUGAAUAAAUUUAAUGAUUAUAGGAGAUUCAAAAGAUUGUCGUCUUUGAAGGUGCAUUUGAGAAGAUUUUCAGUAUCAUAAGAGAGGAGGGAAACUCAGAUGGUGGUGUCGUUGUACAGGUGCGACAUGGUUACAUUAUUACUUUACUUCAUUCAACUUGCUUUAUGAGCUAUAUUAUGUAAGAUAUUACUCCAUUAUUAUGGUGUACUUGUCCUAUGUUUACGAACAACAUAUAAGCUAUUUUUAAAAUAUAAUAAAAGCAUGUUGACGGGAGGCUAUUCUUAGUAUACUAGUAUUGUUGGUUAGUCUUUCAGAGAGCAUACCUGCUCCAAUAUGACAAUAUCUAAAACAAGGCUUAAUUAAACUUUUAGUCCCUUUGGUCCCCAUAUAAUAUUUUCAGCAAAUUUAGUCCCUCAAUUUUUAAAUUGUUACAAUUAAGUCCCCAAUCACUUUCAUUCUACUUGAAACUCUCAAAUUUUAAUUUUCUAAGUGAAAUCUUUACAAAUUAAUUGAUUUGAUUUAAAACCCCACCAACCAAAAUAUUUAUUUUAACCUAUUUAAACCCCAAUCUCACAUUUUAUAUAAUCCUUCAAAUUUUAUUGAAUUUUCACUAAAUUUCCGACUCUUAGACUUUCAAAUUUAUAUUAUAUCCCAAAUUCAUCUUAAAUCCCACAAUAGUUGAACUAGAGAAUUAAUAUUUAAGGUUUUUUUGUAUAUGAAAAUUGAUAAAGUGACCAAAGUUGCUUAAUUCUAAAAGUAUAGGUUUACAGUUAGCUUGAAAUAAUUUAAUGGGACCAAAAUUACAAAAUAUCCAAACUAGAGAGACCAAAAUAUUGCAAUUAAGCCUUAUAAUAAACAAAUUAUGUUGGCCAAUCAAUAUGCGCUCAUAUUUUUAUGAACAUUUUUUUUGCACCAUACAAUUAGAUUCUGCGAUUUGGAUAAGGUGAAUCAAAAUACGAUGGAUAGAAAAAAAGAUGCAGAAAUGACUAAUAUGCUGUCAAAUUUGUAUGAUUUAUCAUCUUUUGUUUACAUUAGGUAUUGAAAAUUGCAGGCUUAUUGUUGACAAACUUUUGGCAUCAUUUUGAGAAUAAUUAUACUUAAUACUUUAUAUUGCUUCUGGUCUAAAUAAUUCUCUGGUUACUGUGCAGGAUUGCCUUGAGUUGUUGAACAAUUUGCUUCGUAAUACUGCAUCCAAUCAGGUUUGUUGACUCUUGUGUUUAUUCAGUUCUAAACUUGGCAAUGAUUUCAAUUAUGCACUUUUUCAGGUACUACUAAGAGAGACUAUAGGACUUGAUUCAUUGAUAUCAAUUUUGAAGUUGAGAGGAAACUCUUAUACUUUUACUCAACAAAAGGUUAGAUUUUUUCAAUUUUUUAUUCUUUUUAGGCUUAAAUACUCUAUAGGUCCCUGAAAUUGUGCCCCGUACGAAAAUAAGUCCCUGAAAUUUUUUUUUCCGAUUCCGGAUCCCUGAAAUUGUUUUUUUAAUCAGAAUAAGUCCCUACCCAUGUUAUGUGCUUAUGUGGCUCUUAUUUUGCACAAUCAUCAUUUCCAAGUGGAUUUUUUAAUUUUCUUUUGUUACACAUGUGUUAAUCAAUUAUAAUUAACAAAUAAAUCUUAAAAUUAAACCCUAAAUCAAUUAAUUCCUAAUCCCUAAUCCCAAACAAAUAAAUCAGAAGAAAACAAAUUAUUAUUCACUAUGUAAUUCUUAUUCAUCUUCAUCAUGAAUUAAUUUUCAUCUUCAUCAUCUUCAUCACCUUCAACCUCUUCAUCUUCAUCAUUCAUCCACCCCCACCCUCAACCCCACUGCAAAAACCUCAUCACAACCCACCCCCAACCACCAAAAUCCCAAAAACCAACCCCCACCCCCAAAAACCCAGAAAUCUAGUUUCUCCCUCUCCCCCUGCAUCUCCCCUAAUCCAGAAACCCAACAAUCCAACAACACCAGCCCCCUCUCUCCCUUCAUCCACAACCAACAUGAACACCAACAACAACAUGAAAAUCAACCCACAGCCAACCCACAACCUUCACCAACAGCAACAACAAUGUAACAAAACCCACAAUGAGAGUGAGAAGAAAAAGCUGCGAUAACCCAACUCUAUGAAGCUAGAAAGAUCAGGACCCAGAAAUCGAUCUAGAACCAACCCCCACCCCCAAAAACCCAGAAUCGAACUAGAACACGAAAGAGGCGAAGUAGAAGAGAUUGAGACAGGAGACAAAGGGCCAGUGGCACCACCGAGCCACCACCGCACAUAUUGGCGGCCGCCGUCGCGAAGAAGCUAGGGGUUCUCAAACCUGAAGCUCCCUUCCUUCACCUUCUACCUCUGCUUCUCUUUCUCCUUCUUCGACUUUCCUUUCCUUCUCUUAGGUUGAGUUCUGAUUAUAUUAGAUUUGGGAAUUUAGGGAUUUAUGAUUAGUGGGUUUAAUUAGAUUUAGGUUAAUUAGGUAAAUAAUUUUUUAUAUUUAAAUUUAAUAGUUUUUUUAUCCCAUGUGUAUUUAAAAAUAAAAGAAAAAGCCACGUGUAAAUAUUGAGUCAGCAAAAAAUAUGCCAGAUAGGCUUAAACCACGAGCAGGGACUUAUUCUGAUUAAAAAAACAAUUUUAGGGAUCUGGAAUCGGAAAAAAAAUUUUCAGGGACUUAUUUUCGUACGGGGCACAAUUUCAGGGACCCUUAGAGUAUUUAAGCCUUCUUUUUAUAUGCUAUUAGUGAAUCUUUAUUGCUAACUUUUGCUAUGCACAUCUUGCCAGUAGACAAUCAAUCUACUCAGUACGUUAGAAACCAUUAAAUUGUUACUAAAGGGAGGUUCUGAGGCUGAUCCUGGGAAAGAUAUGAAUAAACAGACAAAUAAGACAGCCCUGGUUCAGGUUUGUCAAGAACAGUCUCAUGUUGAUUGCAGAAAAUACCAAUCUGGUUUUGGUGAUCUUAUAAUCUGUUUUGUGGAAUUGGUUGUAGAAAAAGGUAUUGGACCAUUUGUUGGUAUUAGGUGUUGAAAGUCAAUGGGUACCUGUUGCAGUUCGCUGUGCGGUAAGAUAACUUUGCUCCCCC